rnacentral:lncRNA from 1 species
ACACAUCACUGUUGUGUAAGAAAUUAAUAAAUCAUUUACAUAAUGAUAUCAAAUGUAUGUGUAUAAACCAUGAUUUUUCAUGUCAUAUAAACGUUAUUCAAAGUACAUAAAAGGCUACCUGUUUGUUUUUAUGUUUUAAAAGUAUUUUUUAAAAAAAAUAAAUUUUUUUAUUUUUUUUAGUUUAAAUUAAUAGUUUUUUAGUGUUUUUAGAUAUUAUGAUGCGCUGAUAUUAAAAAUAUUUUUUAAAAAAAAAACAUUAUUUUGAUAUAUUUUCAAGUGAAAAGCACUUUGAAAACCGUAACAUCAUUAUAUUUUUUUUAAAAAUACUUUUAAAAUAUAAAAAUAAACAGGAAAGUGAUGAGAAUAUAUUUUUAACUAUAUUUUUUUAAAAGACACUUGUGGUCUAUGCAUGGUGUUUGUUUUUAUUUUUUGAAGUAUAUUUCAAAUUAUUUUUUAUGAUUAUAUUUUAGUUUUUGUAAAAUUGAAUCCAUCUUAAAUUAUUAUUGCAACUGGUGGCAUGAUCCUUUUAGGUAUAUUCAUCUUCAAUUACAAAUUAGGAAUGUAAAAAAUAGCAAUCUGAACUGGUCAGCUUCUUCUUCUCCGCUACCAAUAUCCAUCUUUUCUGAUUCCUUAUUUUACCAAAAUAAAAAAUAGAACCCUGAUAUAAAAUACCAAGAUAUUGGGAGAAGAUGAUAUCAUUAUUAAUGACUAAAUAAUAUAUGAUUAGAAAAAAACUAAUAAAUUGUCAUGCUUCAAUUAAUGACACAUGUAAAAACAAUUAAAAAUAAAAAUAGGCUAUGUCAGUAUGACGCCUGCUUAUCAUGAGCAUGUGGUGUGACAAAAAAAAAUGCCAUGUCAUCUGGACACAUAAAAAUUUGAAUAUUAUAGCGAUCACUUCAUCCAUUUCACUGCAUAACGAUCAAGGUGUGAAAUGAAAAUAUACUCUUUUUUUUCCUGGUGAGAAAACAGACGAUAGUUUUCGAAUCAAAAUGCUAAUGAUCCAUGAACAAACAAUAGGUAUGAUAGUCCCUCGUAGCUUACAUGAUCGUUAAUUUCAGGAUCUAUAAAAUUAGUCGAGGUAUAUAUAAACUAGUUCGGACACCCACAUUAAUCAAAAAACAAUAAGAAUCUAUGAAAAAUACCAUUGCGACUACCUACAUCCAUAAAUAUAGACUAUAAUAUUUAAGAUUAUUGACAAAAUUUAUAAAAAUAUUUGUACUGAAACAAUUGGUUUUGAAAAAAAAGAGAGUAAAUUUUCACAUCACUAGUAAUUUUUUUCCUUUAAAAUCUACAUCAAUAAAUAUAAACCAUAAUAUUUAAUACUAAGAUGUUGUCACUUCCACGUUUUAGCAUAUAUAUUUAAUAUCUGGCAAGGUCUGUUCCCGCGCUUUACCCCAAAGGAAGGUUUUGGUAAUUAUAAAGUAGUGUUUGAUUAAUAUUAUUUGAUAGAAGGAAAAAGCGACAGAAAUAAUAUAAAAUAAAUUUAUUUUUAAAACAGUUUUGAAAUAAAUUUAUGUAUUUUAUAAUAAAAUAAUAUAUAAUAACUAAACGCUAUUAGAUAGUUUACGAUAAAUCUUGAAGAUAAUGGUAGAAAUUGAGAGGAUUGAAGAUAUAUAUAUAUAUAUAUAUAUAUAUAUAUAUAUAUAUAUAUAUAUAUAUAUUUUAUUUGAGGAAACUUUAUUCCUUGAAAAGCGUAUUUUGUGGGCUUAGGUGAGCGAUUAAAACCUCAGCUGUCCUAGACUCUUACAAGAAGUGCACGUCCUGAUUCGAACUCGAGACCUGCUAUGCAGAUCUCAAGCUCUUUGUCAUCACGCUACGUCUCUUGGGACUGAAUCGAAGAGAUAUUGCUAAAGCUUGGUAAAGAUUUCUUUCGAUUCUUGUUAAGCAAAUCUCACCAAUAGAAUUUCAGAGAGCACCAUCGCAGCUUGGUCACGCUGAGUUUUUGUUUGAAAUAAUGUCUGGCCACAUGCUUUUUUAGCAUUUCUUGGUGCCCUCCUACGUUGAAUAAGGAGGGUUUGCUUGCAACUUUGAAUCAAAUAAUAAUGAGGCUGAAUCGUUGACUAAAUCUCUUGGCGCAAACGAAAGGAAGAAAGGGACCGGAAUCGUCGUUUUGUCAAACCAUGUACAGGUGUAUUCUGGAGAGUGUAACACCAUCGCUAAGCAAUGAUCCUGUUAGUUUUUUGUACUAAUUCUUUCUUUUUAUUUUUUUAUUGCCUCUCGAUUCACAGAUCAGGUGUUGUUGCUUCAGGUGACCAAGUUUCCUUUCUUUAUUGUUGUUAUUGUUUUUGGUUUUACUUUUCAAGUCAUUAAUUCUCAGGUCAGCAACGAGGAUGUGGAUAUGCAUAUUAACAUGAGAGAGAGAGAGAGAGAGAGAAUAUGUUGUGCUUCAAGAGUUACUAUCAGCUAUCGUUUUGCACCUGUUUUUGUAUUUGCAAUGUAAAAAACAUAAUAAGGUAUCUGGUAACCAUAAAAAUUGUGUUUUAUAUUAUGGAAUUCACUAAAAAAAUUGAAUUUAAAAUGCAAUUUUUGUGCAACCACAUAACUACCAAACAUUUUAUAAAUGUUUUUUUACUGCAAAUAAACCUCAACCAUAAUUUUUACUAAACGUAUAUCUAAAUCCAACUAACCACACCUAACCAUGCUUUUUUUAAAUUUAUUUUUUUCAAACUACAACCAUACAAGUUACCUCAAAAAUAAACGCACUCUCUAGAGUGUGAUAACAGUUAAUUUUUAAAAUAUUUUUUAUAUAAAUACAUUAAAAUAAUAUAUUUUUUUAUUUUUUACAUUAGUAUAUCAAAACAAUCCAAAAAUAUAUAAAAAAUUAAUUUUAAAUAAAAAUAAUAAUUGAAUUUCAACCGAUCUCUAUUUGAACCGCAAUAUUAAACAUGGGCUUACACAUCAACUCUUGGAGGUGGGCUUAGUGAAAAGGUUCAAAUUUAAGGAUGGCUAUUAACCUGGUUCCUUUUCCUGGGUUAUUUGAAACUAGAUAAAACUUGGUAGGGUUCAUAUAAGGCCCAAGAGAGAUUAUUAUCAUAAUUAGGAAAGAAUUGCUAUUCCGUUGACUUUUGAAGCUGACUGCUAGCCUGCACAUUUUGAUUUUUUUUCUUUGACUUUUCUUUUUUGAGAAGAACAGUACAUGAAUGAUAAGACUUGGCCCAUCUGUCUCCAAUUCAUGAAUAGCGAGCGAUACCAUCGGUGGCUGGAAGUCUUUUUCUUGCACUAGGGAUUGUUGGAUCCAAGCCAUGAGCCAGAUGGGCAUAUGCCUGAACAAUUGACUUUCCUUACAAACCAAAAUCGUGCUGGCGUCAAGCCAAUUAACAGCUAGCAAGUCAAGUUUCAGGCUAAAAUAAAUAAGCAUUAAAUAAUAAGUAUUCCACAGACCAAACAUUGAUUAGGUCCUGGAAAAAUCUCUAAACUAUCCUCCACGGGAUAGCAAGCCACGCAAAUGGCCCAGCGUUACCGUCCAGCAAAAGAAUCUAUUACUUCUCAAAGAAAACGACCUCACUGAUAGUAAUUGAGAGGAACAAGGAGGAUUAUACUUUUUUUCUACCAAGAAAGAUACAGGCAAGACAAUGGAGCUUGUUUGCAGAAGCUUCAGGGUAGAAAGAGGGUCAUCAAUAAAGUUUGGGAGAUCGAACAGUUCACUGCUGAUAUCAGAAUCUAUAUCCUCGGAAUGUACACGAGUUGCCCGCUAUGAGAAUCUUUCAGCUUCUAUGAGGAUGAGCAAUGAUCAGGAUAUCGGAUAUAGGAGCAGGAAAAGCAGGGCUUACACGUUUAUAAGCAAGGUUUUCAGCUUCAGGAAAAUCUCCAGCGAUUGUGAGACAAGGCAGCAAGCAGAUAUGGUGACUCAAGAGGAGAAAAAAGAGAAGAAGAAAAGGUCUUCGUGGCUUCCUGAUCCUGAAAGGAGAUGGCCUGUGCAGGGUUGGUGAUUUACAGUCAAAGUCAAGGAGCUAGGCAUGGCAAUAACUAAGAUCAUUAACUGGGUUUUCAUUCCUCCGGAUCUCAUGUGGCGAGAAGAUUGAAGAAAUCUCAAGGAAAAGGAUAGAAAAGACUACGAGGAAAUGCUCAGAUAGUCAAUUGAUCACAUGGCUAGAUUAUCAAAAAGGAAGCAUAGCAUUUAUUACUUCAAAACGAUUUGUAAUGUUCCCACCCAAUUAUUAAAUUGUUCUUCUCACCAACAACCCAAUUUAAAACCCAAGCAAAGCAGGUCUAUACGAGAUGGCUUCGUGGAAAAUAAUCCAUAAACCUCAAGCAGAAUAGAUUUAGCUUAUGAUGCUGCUAGUUGUAUUCUGCAAUGUCCAUGAAUAAUACAUUGCUAUUUGUAAAGCUUGUAAGGUGAAGGACCUACUGGGUUCUAUCCAAAUGCCCAGACUGCUUGAACCCCUUGAUUAUGAGCAUCGGGUCUUUGAAAGUUCUUGCUUAUGAACUUCCGAUGUGAUGAACACUUCAGUAGCCAAUAGGCAACACUUGAUGAAAGGCAGCAAUGUCUCCGACAAGAACCAUGAUUUUGACAAACAUGCGAAUAUAACGAGAAAAGGCUUCUUCUGAUCAAGUUACCUUGCCUUGAAUUGAAUAUGAAGCAUCUGAAUUAAUUGAAUAUGUUUAACAUAAGAACAUAGAAGUCCCAGCACAGAAAUUUGUUGUUAUCAAGGACAGGGCCUAGGACAAAUCUCUCAUAAUAUGGUAGGUAGAUAGAGAACAAUACUAAAAGGGAUCCCUACACAAGUUCCAUUUUGCAAGAAAUCAGUAAAUUAUCAAUCAAAAAACUAUAUGAACAUGAUAAUGGAAGACUAAGAGCAUCAUGAUCAGUAGCUUUAGGUCUAUUAGAGUGAUGACACAGCAGAAAAAUAACUCUUUGAAUGUAAAUUGGAAUCUUCAUUGAAUGCCAACAAUCCUGGGUUUUGCACUUAACAAUGAAGAACAUACAUGUUUCAUAAUCGUAUAUAUUCCAGAUGGGUGCGAAUGCGAUAGCGAUUAAAAGCCAUAGAUGAUCUGAAUUUUGUGCCAAUAGCUGAAAAAUCAUUUACGAUUCGUUAGAUGAGUUUUCUUUAAAAAAUUACAAAUUCUUCACAAGCAAGCAAAAAAAAUAUUCUUUUUUCGUUAUAAUCACGCAGGUUACUGUUAGAUAUGAUAAGAUUAGAUGGAAACAACAAAUAAAGAUUUGAAACACUCUACAGGGGUGUUUGGCCUUCGUUUUAACUAAAGUUUUGUAUAUUUUUAGAAGAAAAUGUUAAAUUUAUAUUAAUUUUUUUUAUUGUUUUAAUACGAUGAUAUCAUAAAUAAAUUUUUAAAAAUAAAAAAUUAUUAUUUUAAUAUAUUUUAAAAUAAAAAAUAUUCUAAAAAAAAAAUAUUUUAAAAAGCAAUCUCUAUAAAUAUUCUAUCACUAUCCUAGACAACUUUUAAAAAAACUGGCAGCUGUCAUUUGCACGCGUGCAUGUGAUUUUUUUGGGUUUUAACAUCAAUCAAUCCGGCAGCAAUAUAAUAUGCGGCAAGCAUAUUAAGAAUGUGUUUGAAAUUGUAACGUGAUGUCUGUUUAAAAUAUUUAUUUUAUUUUUAAAAAAUUAUUUUUUAUAUCAGUAUAGUAAAAUAAUUUUAAAAUUAAAAAAAUUUAAAUAAAAUUUUUUUAAAAAAAAAACUAUGAUUUACAACAUGUUCCCGAACACUACUUAAAUUUAAAUAAAAUAAAAAAUAAAAAAAAAAUAAUCUAUAGUUAUGUUUCACUCGUGUUUUGAAAUUCAACAUGAUUUGAUGAUUUUAUUAAAAAAAUAAUUUAAAAUAACUUUUUAAUUAAAUUAAAUAAAAUAUAAAUUUAAUAAAAUUUAUUUGACUUGCUAAGUUUUUAAUAACUUAAUUGAUUCAAUAAUAUUCAAUUUAAAUCUAAUCAAAUCAAUAAACAUGAAGAAAAAAACCAUGUCAUUUAAUUACAAAAUCAAAAUCUCUAAUCUCUAAUCUCCUCUUAUCUCAGCACAAAACAACUAAACGGCCAUAGAUAAAUAAAGUUUGAAAAAACAUGUAUCUCUCCAAUCAUCUUCAUGUUAUUUUCUUGUUUUCUUUUGUUUCAAGGAAUUAUUAUUGUUUUGUUUUAUUUUGUUGUGUUUGCAUCCUCGGUGCUCAAGGUCCUCCAAAAACAAAAUCAGUGAGGCAUGGUAGCUUGACCAUUUUAGUUUUUCGCCUGCUUUUGCUUAUAGGUUAUGUAAAUAUGUAGAGAUUUUUUUAAUAGUGAUUGUUGAAAGACUUAAAAAAGCCUAAGAGGGAGUGAAUUAGAGCUUCAUUUAUUUUUUAUUGCCAUUUUAAAAAUAAUCUCCAAUUUACUCAAAAUAGUUUAAAUUAAUCUCAAUUUCUUUAACAAUGUCUAAAUCAAAAAUUAAUACCAAAACUCACAAACUAUAUCUUAAUACACUAAGAUAGCCAAAACACCGAAGUAAUAUAAUUGAUCAUAAAUAAAAAGAUAAGGAUAGAGCGAGACACACUAAUUUUAUAGUGGUUCAGAUUAAAUAAUCCUUCUAUCAGGCUUAAAAUUAAACUCAAUACUUUUAUGGGCUAAGGAUUAAACAUGUCUCAAUUGUUUUUUCGAACUCAAUAUUAAAUACAAUUUUUUUUACAGGCUAAUAAUCAAACCCAUCACUUGAUUUUUUCAUGAGCUCAAGAUUGAAAACUUAUCACACAAAUUUUUUUUGAAGAUCCUCUCUCAAAUUCACACCUAAAGAAUAAAUCUAAGUGGUUAAACUGUCACUUAUACUUUUUAUAAUAUAUUUGUUUCUCACAAGAGAAAGAUUACUCCUUACAUGCUGAAAAGAUUACAAUAUAUAAACUCAAGUAUUUAUAGAAUGUAAUCUAACACACAAAGGUGAAAGAGUGAUUUUGAUGUUAUAAGAUUCAAAGAUUUUUAAAAGAUUACAGAAGAAUAAUCAAAACUUUUUAGAAUAAGAAAUAUCACACAUCAUGUGCAAGAACAAUUAGAAAUACUAAAAAUGUGUAUUUAUUGAAAAACCCCAAAACUAGUUAUUACUUAUGUUAAAAUUAUAAAUUUAUCACCUUAACUGAUAAUAAAUAAAUGAUAUAAAAACCAAUGUGAUAAUAUUUUUAGCUACAAUUGGUUAUUAAAAUAUAUUAUAGUGCAAGGCACAUAAUAAGUAUUAUGCUCUUCAUUUAAGUGUAAAUAACAAAAUAUAUGAUGAAAUAUUUUUGGAUGAAAAUAUAUAUGGCAAAAAAAAAUAUUUUUUAUGAUGUAAAAUUAUAUUCCAUAAAGAUUUGAUCACACAAAGAUAUGAUUUGAAGAAUCUUCAAGUUAAGUUUGCAUCCAAAGAGUCUAUAAUUUCAGUCUGAUGUAGAAAAAUUCUUAUAAUAAUAAUACUUUGACAUAUAUAUUAUAUGCAAUAAUAUAUUGUUAUCAUCAAAACAAAUAAUCCUUGACCGAUUAAAGGAUUAAAGGCCUCUCAUAGUAAAUGAGUUGUAUAUUCAUCUUUUCCUUCUACAUUUCUUAUGAUCAUUUCUAGAAAUGGAAACAAAUGAGGGAAAAAAAGAAGAGAAAAGCUUCAAUUUUCGAAUAUGAUAUAUACAAAUUAAUCAAUGUAUUACAUAAAUUUCUCCUAACUAAUGAAAGAUUGAGUUGUAAAUGAUGAUAUAUGGAGUUAUUGAAAAUCCUUCAAAGAUAAUUGAAACAUUUCAUUUGUCUCUUCCUAGCGAUUUCUACUCUACAACAUUACGUUGUCUUUUAUUUCAUAAACAAUGUCGUCUUUUUUAGUGCUCUUUUCCUAUUCUGUUUAUUUCACUGAUGGAAAUAGGGCUUCUAGGUAUUCAACCGAGGGAGUUCUCAAAAAAUGUGAUUUUUUUUUUACUUAAAAUAAAAAAAUUAUGUUUUCAGUUUUUUUUAUGUGCUGAUUUUAAAAAUAAUUUUUAAAAAAUAAAAAAAAUUAUUUUAAUGUCUUUCCAAGCAAAAAACUUUUGAACCAUCACCGUUAUUAUAAUCUCAAAUAGACUCUAAAACUUAGUGAAUUACUAGUUUUUUGUUGUAUUUUUGCUGCGAUUGAAUCUAAAUAUUUUAGAAUAUAAAAAAAAUAUUAUUUAAAAUAUUAAAAAAUAAAUAGUAUUGUUAUUAGCGUUUCAUAUUUAAAAAAUCUUGACUCAGUUAUUUUCUUAGUUUAAAUUUUAAAUUAAUUUGACUUAUUUUUUUAUAAAUUAUUUCAAUUUUGCUAUGAUAGUAACGUGUGACUAUUUUCUAAUCUACAACUAAAUUUAUCAAAACUCUAUGAAAGUUUUCUUAUCCUCAUUCUCAUUCGAGAUACUAGGAGCUCUCCAUUGGUUGAACUUUGAGUUCUUGUUUGCACUUAAGUUUUUUCAUUUGAAGAGCACAUUUAUGUGUUUUUUUUUAAUGCCUUUUCUUUUGUUUUUUUAUUGCACAUAUUAAAAAUAUAUACAUUGUGUUCAGAAUGUAAUGAGGCUUAUCUAGGUAAUUAAUUUGGCAAUGUACUAGGUUAACUUUUCCCUGCACUAUGGCUAUAUCUUGUAUCAAAAAAAUUUAGAAUGUCAAAAAAAAAAUAUUUAGAUUAUAAAAAUCUUUUUGAUAUUAUUAUUAAACUUAAUAUAAUAGUUCAAAUUUAAAAAAUUCUUAACCAACUCUUUACUUAGCCUAAAUUUUAAAUUAAAUUGUGUUCUAACAUGACUUUAUCAACUAAGCAGGUAAAAAAAAUCAAAGAAAAAGGAAAAAAAUUGGUCAUGUUCACUCUAAUCAACUCAUCCAAUCCGUGAAUGGACUCCACUUAGUUGAAUUAAUUUGUUUAUUUUAUUAUAUGAUAAAAAAAUACAAAAAUAAUUUACAAUCAAUUCAAUACUAAAAAAUAAAAUUCAAUAAAAACUAUAAUAUAAUUAAAAAAUCUCAAAGGGCCAAUAAAAAGAGCCCGGAUCAUAAUAUAUAAUUUAAUGAGUCAAUGCAUUGGAUAAAAGGCCAUGGCUAGUUUAUAUGUAUCGCGCUCGAUAAAUCUCCUGAGCUCUCUGGUCUGCCAUCCUCACUUUUUCUAUUUUUACACUAGGUUGAAUUUGAGACAAGACAACUUCCUAUUUUUUUCCGCAAACGAGAAGCUGUAUUUCUUACUAAAUUAAUUAAUUAAUUAAUUAAUUAUAUUACAAAAUCCCAUUAAUUAUAUCUAUUUCAAACCUCUCAAUUCUUUUUUCAGAGUUAUGAUUUUUCUUUUUAUUUAGUCAUAAUUGCUCAUCCCAUUGAUUGAUUUUAUCUUUAAUGAAAUAUUUAAUUUAAUUCAUCUCCAAUCACCUAAAAUCCAAUGUGAAUAGAUUUUAGUUUGUAUAUUUGUAAAAAAAAAUAUUUUAGAAAACAAAUAUUUUAGAAAACCCGAAAUAUGUAUAUUCCACAAAUCCAAUGUGAAUAGAUUUUAGUUUGUAUAUUUGUAAAAAAAAAAUAUUUUAGAAAACAAAAAUCAUAUUAUGAACCCGUAGUGAAAUAUGUAUAUUCCACGCCAUUUAGUAUUUUCUAUAAAAUAAUAUAAUGCGUAUCCCUGAAAACACUAUGAAAAAUAAAUUUUAUGAACAAAAAAGGUAUUAAUUUCUUUUAUGACAUCAUUUGUUCAUUAAAAUGUAAAUUAUUUUAUUAUAUUUAGUUGUGUAAUAAAUGAUGAGUUGAAAAUUUAUUCUUACCGUUUUUGCGUAUAUUGAAAAACCAAUUACAAAAGCUAGUAUGAAGCAUGCAAAGAUUAAAUGUGGUUUUUUAAACUCGAAUGAAAUAUUUAAAUAUAAUUAUUUCGUAAUUCAAAUAAAAUCUAAUUGUCAUAAAAUGUAAUUAUCAUAUAUUUUAAAAUUAAUACUGCAAGUUAAUACUUAAAAAAAAUAAAAAUAAAAAAGAGGGUGAGAAGUAGUAGAAUAAACAAAAGAAUUGUGCUAUACAAAAAAUUGACUGAUUAUUUUAACAAGAGCUAGAAAACCGCCAAAUAAUUGCUAAUAAAUUAUUUUAUUUUUACUAAGAAAUGUAAUAUUGCUUUCAAACGAUUUAUUUUACUUUGUUUAAAAGAUUAAUAAGAGAUCCGAGUGGAUUUGAACCACCAGCCUCUCAAAUCCCCAUUACGGGACUUUGAGCGCUCUACCGUUUUGAGCUUACGGAUCUUAUCAUCAUUGAAGAACGGGCAUCAAAACGAGAGUUACCUCUCCCCUUUUCUUUUCUCAUCUACAAAUCCUCCUCUACUUAAUUACCAAAGUUACCACAAAAUGAAUUUUUUUAAUGACCUGACCUUUUUUCACGGGCAAAAACACAUUUCCAAUACAAAUAUCAAUUGACUAAACAAAUCAUUAAUAAAGAGCUGACCGCAUCAAGCCAGAUUCCUGCCUGACACAUUUACACUAAUGUGAAUCAUUUAUCACCGGAAGCCAUAUUUACAUAACCGUUGUGACGUUGAUUUGAAUAAUAAAAGAACAUGUUCAGGGGAAAAUACAUUCUACCAAUAAAAAAAGAUACAUUCAAGAUAAAGUUUGAUACUACUUUUGUAUUAAAAAUACCAUAUUUUAAAAACAAAAAUUCUUAAUAUUGUUUCAUUAUAAUUACAUUUAUUAUAAAAAUUAAAUUUAUAGCUCUAAAAUAUAUACAUUUCAUAUUGUUAAAAAGAACACGCAGAAAAAUUACGUUAGUCGUGUUUUUUUUUUAAUUUCAAAAAUUAAAAAAAAAACUCAGAUAUAUUAUAGGUGCAAAUUUAAAAAAAAAAACAUCUGAAACUAUUUAUAAGUUCUUCCAUAAUUUUCACAAAGUCGAAAAAUAACAACUUGAGAUUGUAUAUAGCUAAAAUAGUGUAUGAAAAUCCAAUGAUAGACAUAAAGAAAGUGUUGAAUAAUAUAAUGCCGGAUGUAUUGCUUUUUAAAUGAACAUGAACUAGCUUAUUAGAAUUUUUAUUGUACUUUUAUUUUUAACAUAUCAAAUUCAUAAAACAGUUCUUAAAAAACAAAGACACUAACACAUUGGACACUUCAAAUAUAUAUUUAAUAUUGUGAUGACAGUAAAUUUUUAAUUAAAAAUACUGUAAAUUUUUUUUCUUGGUUCGACAUUAAAACUAAAAAAUCAGUUUAAUACUUGCAAUUUCAUAAUCCGAGGACUGCAAUUACUAAUAUGGUUGUUCUGGCGUGUCUUUGAAUAAAUAAAAAACACCCGAAAGCUUGAUUUGAAAGAACUUCGGUCAGGGAUGAGCAUCAAUCACCACCAUCUGGUCACCGGAAAGGCAUAACCUAACCUUCCAAUACGUGGCAAUUCAUGAAACCUAUCAUGUGAAACUUCUGGAAGAACAAUACGUGGAAAAUUUGGUAUUUAAAUUAAAUUGCUUCGCCUAAAAAGGCAUUAAAUUGAUGCUAAUAUCAAGAAUAUUAUAUUGAAAAACACUAAUUAAUUACCAAAUACCAAAGACAAUGAGAGAGGACCACUUUUCUUCGAAUUAGUGGGAAAGGAUAGAUAGAUAAUUAUGAGCAUGUUUUAAUAAAACGGCACAUAAAAGAGAAGACACGCAGCAUUUACUGACUUGUAGAAUAACGACUUCAGUAGAUUACUACAUCUCCAGCUAAAACAAGGAAACCAUAGCAGCGCAGAUUUUAAACUGAAUGACACUGAACAACAAUUUAAUUGAGUGCUUUAUUUUUCUUUCAGGUGGAAUAGUAAACCAUUGAAGAACUUAUCACCUCAAAAUUGUGUGGCUCAAUUGAGAAUUGCGUGAGGACCUCCUGAGCUUUCUGUCGCCCUUUGAAGCCAUCAUCAUGAUCGUUGAAGCUCAGCAGCACAAGGUCUUUACAAACGUGGAUCGCCUACUGAGGACUACAAAUCCAUCUUCAACGCUACCAUACUAAGGCCAAAUCACUCACACCCAGAGAACCAAACAAGAAGAUCCAAUUGCAAAUCACAAGACUAGGUAAGAGCCACUUAAAUCCAGCCCCAAGGUCUUACAAGGAUAUCAUAGAGGACAAUAAGCUUAAUUAACAUACUUGCUACAAAAUAUGUAAUUGUAAAACGCUAGCAACAAUAGUAAAGCUAUCGAAACAGAAAUUCUGCGCAAGAUCGCAGUAAUGGAUUGACAAGCUAUAUCUAAAUAAACAAAACUCGUGCUCAUGUUUGCUCUGUAAAAUAAUAACAUGAGAUGCGUGCGUUGGAUAAUGAAAUAACUUGGAACGAAUGUUACCUGCAAUAACGGGGUGGUGCAAUGGAAUAAAAGCUUGAGUGCAAGGAAAGCAUACUGUUUAAUAUAGAAUAGAAGGUAAGCCCUGAUAUCAUAAUUUCCAGUGUCUUUGUUUUUUAUGUACUCUGUGAUGUGUGACUGCCAGUUUCAAGUGCUGAAACAUGUUUUAGUAGAAUUCUCUUAAUAGCCCAUAUUACCAAGAUGAAUAUUUGAUGGGAGCAGAUAGUGAUGAACAAUGAGAACCCAGAUUACAAAUUCAUGAUCUUGCUAACGACUGAUUCUACGUGAAGGGGCAUGUGACUACAUGAUUCUAAGUGCAGGAAAAUCGAAUUGAGGAUAUAGGAUAUAAGUAGGAGAAUACCUUCGGGUCACCGUCAUAAAUUGCAAUAUCGUGCCAUGGAUGAAUUGAUUGCUAGCUGGAGUCGGGGCCGCGCUUUAGCCAUGGAUUGUAAGGCAAAGAGAAGAGAAAGCGGGACACAGAGACUAGAGGGGAGAACCCGGGAAAUCCCCGUGCGAUCUCCCCUCCAAACACGAAAAUGAUAAUUUUAUUAAGAUAGUGGUUGACCUGCCAUGCAAGCGCACCUGUCAUGGCAAAGGUCGGAUGACAAAGAUAAUAAACAAGACCUUGGCCUCUUGGCCUUCUGGUCCCGAUAUAUAUCUUAUACAUCAUCCUCAUAAAUAAAUCGAACACCAACACCAGCAUCAUCUCCUUCCUGUCCUUCUCCACCAACAAAUUACACAUAACAUGCUACACCACAGCUCACAUAACCAAUCUUCAGCCAUGUCUACAUCCAGCAACACGUUCAGCGGAUUCUGUAACUGCUUACAACACCACCUGCAGAAAAAAUCUCAAAUCAUCUUCUGCUUUCCGCCAACAACCAAACUUAAAUAUUGCUAAAAUUCCUCAUGAUCGAAGAAAGCAUGGCCGGAAGGGACAGAUCCGCUUAAUAUUUGAGCUAUCGAAACAGAGCCGCGCCACAUCUACAGAACAAAAUUAGAUUUACGCGGAUUAAUGACUUGAUCAAUAACCAAUAGACAGAUAUUCAAUCAGAUCUAGCUUAGGAACGUAAACAAAACACUUAUACAUACCUCUGGAGCUAUCUCCGAGCAAAUCAAGAUCAUGGAGUUCGAGCAUCGAAACGGAUAUCAAGAUAAAGAUCGCAAGGCGAUCUAUAUGAAGCUGCAAUUGAAAAGAUCGAAGGAUGAUCCAUGAAGAGUAGAUCUAUGGAGAAACUAGAGCUUUGCUGAUAAGAUUAGGUAGAUAUGAAAGUUGUGUAUGUGAUUAUUAUAUAGAGGGUUUGGGAGAAUGGACGGACAGGAUUAGUCGCUUAGUUGAAUAAUGGAGGGCUGAGAUUCCGUUUAAAUGGUGUGGAAAUGGACGGCACAUAUGAGCUGGCAAGAUAUGAUAUUCGUGGUAAUCACGCUGGUUAGUAGGAUAGAUAUGGACGGCAUUGAAAGGAUUGGUUCAAAUACGCGCGUGCUUUGUGACCUUUAUUUUUCUUCCACGUUACGCGUGUGAUUUUUAUAUUAAAUACAGCAAAAUUAAUCUUUGUGAUAAAAAUAAUAACUAUGAAGGUUGAUAGCCUUUUGUUUGAAAAAAUGUAUUUUCAAUGGUUUGAUAUUUCCCAUCUCCUGGCUUUUUUUUUAAUUUAAAUAAAAAAAAAAUUAUAAAAACACAUAAAAUGUAUAGACAAAAUUAAAUUAUGUGUGUUUUAAAGAUUAUAUAAUUGAUAGAACCGAAAAGAUUAAUUAAUUAAUUAAUUUUUCUAGAUUGUAAGAACCAUGGUGUAAAUAGCUCGUCUUGAAAACAAUGAAUAAAUAUAAGUCUAGCCAAAAUAAUAAAAAAUGAAGAAUUAUCACUAGUACGUAUUAUGCUAGUCAGCAUGUUUUUAUUUUAGUCUAUGAAUACAUUGAAGGUGUAGAGAAAAAAUUGAUAAUUUGUUUUCUAAUUUUAAAUAUUGAAAUAAAAAAAACUGAGAUUUUUAUUAGAAGGCUUGACGAAUCUUUGUUCGGUGUCAUUCCAUGGCACGGGUUUGCUCGUUACGGCCAAUUGGGCUUACGAGUGAAUCGUUGUUGUGUUUGCACUGGAUAAGCCCACGGUAUUAUCUAUAUAUAUCAAAACAAAACAAAUUUUGUAUCUUAUUUUAAAAAAUCCAUACCUGAUAUUCUUAAAAAUUAAAUAGAUAUCAUUAUAUUUAAAUUAUACGUAGGUAUUUAAAAGACUACUCUAUAUAAAAAAUAUUAUUUUUUUAUAUGUCAAUGAUAUGAAUUCAAAUCUAUCUCUAAUUGGAAAUGAAAUUAAAAUAUUAAUAUAAUUCAUAAAAAAAUAUAUCAGUUUUGAUACACAACAACUAAGAUUACAAUUGAUAUAAAAUAAAAUUAUUAAAUCUAAUGUCUAUUGAUAAUCUAUUUUAAGCAUCGAAUACAACAAGAAAUCCCAUAAUAAAAAAAAAUAGAAACAAAAAAAUUACAUUAAAAUUAAUUAAAUUCAUAUCCUUGAUUUUUAAUAUAUAUUCUUGAUGAUGAUUAUAGUAAUAAAAAUAAUAUCGAAUCUUGGGUCUAUAAAAUAUUUUAUUUUUCCCUUUUAUAAUAAUUAUUUACAUUAGAAAAAACAUAUUCCAAUUCAUAUUUAUAUUCUUAAUUCCAGUUAAAAUUCAGUAAAUUAGACUUUCAGUUAUUUUCCUGCUAGGUACUGUAACUAACAUAAAAAUCUUACAUAAAAUUUUUAUGUACUGUGAGCGAUGAAAAUAUUUUUUUUCUUAUUUUUUUUCCAUCAAGACCAUAAAAAAUCUUUCACACUUCUGAUAAAAAAAAUCCCUUGGAAGUCCCACUAUAAACUGUGGACGAAAUCAUAUUAAUAUAAUAAAUUCAUAUUGAGAUCGAAUUAAUAUUAGGAUAUAUCAAAAGACGCAGAUAAUUUCUAAGAACAGAAAAUCUCAAUCACCAUUCAAAUUGAAAGAUUCUGAUUUGCUCUUCGGGCAAAAUCUCUAUCGGAUAAAAUAGUUUGUUUGGAUUUGAUACAAAUUUUUAAUUUUUAAAUUAGAGGAUUCUUUUGUCUUUUCUUGUUGAAAUAGUUCAAAUACAACUUUGAAAUUCUAAAUAGAUUUUUUAAAAAUCAUUUUUGAGAAGAAUAGAGAGAAAAAAAAUAAGAGGAAAGAAAGUAGAUCUAACAUGCUUGUCAGACCCGACUAAUACGGGUCUGUUGGAUUUGGCAUGUUUGUCAGGCCCAACCAACAUGAAUUCGACAUACUUGCCAAACCACUUAAACUUGGAUCAGGCAUGCUUAAUGUUAUAAGUAUUAUUAUAUUCAUUAUUAUUAAUAUAAUUAUUAAUAAUUUUGAAAAAAAUAUUAUUAUUAUAAAAAAACCCUUAAAUUUGAUUUAAAUGGUAAAAAUAAAAAUUAUUAGUGUUGAUGUUGUUUAUUAUUAUUGUUAUUGUUAUUUUUGUUAUUGUUAAUAUUAUUAUAAAAUUGAAAACAAAUACUAUUGCUAUUGAAAAAAAACCAAAAAUUUGAUUUAAAUGGUAAAAUUAAAAACUAUAAUAAUUUAAAAAAAAAUCAGGGAAAAAAAUAAAAAAAAUAAAAGCAAAAGAAUUGAAUUGAAUAAUACCGUGGGUCUGAAAUACUUACUUGACCCAACUAAUAUGGGUCUGACAUGUUUACCGAACCCAAAAAUAUGAGCGUGACAUGCUUGCUAGACCUAACCAAUAUAGGUCAGACAUGCUUGUCAAACCCACUUAAACUUGGGUCAGACAUGCUUAUUAUUAUCACCAUCACCAUUACUAUUAUUGUUAAUAUUAUUAAUAUAAUUAUUAAUAAAUUAAAAAAAAUUAUUGUUACUAGAAAAAAAAUUAUAAAUUUGAUUUGAAGGGUAAAAUAAAAAAUUAUAAGAAGUUUAAAAAAAAUAAAAGGAAAAAAAAUAAAAAAAUAAAAAAACUUAAUUAAAAAGUACACCAAGGUGGAUUUGACGUGCUUAGACUUUUAGCAACAAGCAGGUUGAUGCAGCAGCUAGAAGAGGUAUAUUUUUCCCUCACUUUUGUAUUAAAUGUUUUUGAAAAUGCUUAUCUAUUUUUAUCUGUUGAAUCAUAAGGCUUUUGUGUUAGUGUUUUUAUUAUUAGGUCUGUAGGUGUGCUCUAGCAGCAUGCAUUACUGCUGUUCUAUGUAUUUUGUCUUCUAUUUAUGUCAAACCUUCCAUUAAAAUAAUUUUAAAAGAUAUUAUUUUUUCACUACUGUUUAACUUACUUUAAUUUUAAAAGAUAUUAUUUUUUCACUACUGUUUAUUAAUAUUUUUUAUGAAUGCCUGUAACGUGUAAAAACGAGCAAUCUAACUAGUAAACUCUAACUAUCAUAAGGGCAUGCGCAAGGCCUACGGGUCACACUUAAGGCCAACUGGGCUCACGUUCGUUGGCGAAUGGUGCAAGAUCGGCUCUAGCAUGCAAAUGGACUAGAUGGGCUUGGCCCAUCUAGCAGCUCACGUGCUUCGAUCAGUGUGAGAUUUAAAAAAGAGAAUUAAGCCAGAGAUCUGCAGCUUGUGUCCUGUUAAGACAGAGCGAUGGUAUUGGUGGUUGGUCAGUCCUAGUCUAACACAGCUUCGCUGCUACUCCCCUGUUAAGAAAAAAACAGAAAAUGUGAAAGGUCACUUUUUUUACGUUCAUGUCUCCAGUCGGUGGGACCACCCGACCGUUGCAGCUGCCACACAACGUCAGCUAGCACAUUCACACUCAGAGUCGUAGCUAAGAACUUGUAAAGUAACAGCGCCGAGACAAUCACCCAUCAGGUCAUGACUUGACUUUAAAUCCGGCUCCUAUAUAUUUUUCCAGGUCAGUUUUUUUUACCCCCCCCCCCCUCUCUCUCUCUCUCUGUAUACUGCAGGGCUUGAAUUUUGAAAGUGCCACUUUGGCUAGAAUUCUAUCGUUUCUUUAUUAUAUUAGGAUCCAGAACCAAAUUAUUUUUUAUAUUUUUAUAUUAUUUUGAUGAUCCAAUGUUAAAAUUUUUUAAAAAUAUAUUUGCAAGUAAAAAAUAUUAAAAAAAUAACAAUUACAAUAAUAUUAAACACCUGAAGAACGUAAAAUUUGACAAGGCUAACUGGGUUUUAAAUUUGAUUAUAGAUCUAUUGCCUUUUUUUUAAACUAAUGUUCUGCCGGGGUUCUGAGUUGAUGCAGAGGUGAGAACUCCAAUAACUUACUGGCAUGUAAAUACGGAGAAAACAAGGCAGGCCAGUUCACCAAGGUUUACCAAGUUGCACGGUGGAAGACAAAACCUAACCUUGUCGCACUGGAUUUAGGCUUCCUUGGUGACCAUACGCUAUUCACUCAAGUACAAUUACAAGUAGUAAUAAGGGCCCUAAUGAGAGCUUUUGCUCCCAGUCAUGCAGACCUUGGAGCGUUUUUUUAAUUUAUUUUAAUUACUUGAUAGGAAAAGAAUUUGGCACAACAAUUAUGCAGAAAGCUUUUCAAUAUUUUUUCUCUAAUCUUAGACAUUAAUUUGCAAAUUAAAAGACCAAUAAGUGCUAAAAUCACAAUAAUAAAAUCUUGGGAAUUUUGAAAUCUCACAUGAGUACAAAAUUCACAAGAGCUAGAAUCAUAACAACAAAUAUCUGGUGCAAUUGGAUGUACAGAAUUUUAGCUCUCGAUGCAUCAAGCUCAUAGCAAAAUGGUCCCCAUCUCCACCAUCCCAGAUACUUACAACUGUAGAAUUUGAAUUCUUUAAGGCACGAAAUCUGCUGGUCCACUGCUCCAUAGUGCAUUGUUUUGACGUGGUCAAAUUAAAUUGCAGAAUCAAAGUACACGACUUCUUGGUACUGUGCAGAAAACGUGAAAACCCUCAUCUUUAUUCGUACAAUUCACAUUGCAGGGCUCAAAUGCAAGAGAGAUCAGAUCAGCUUGACAUGCCACAGUACAGGGCUUAUCUGGUGAGUAGUGAGUGAGCUCGUGAGAGUUUUUUUCGUAUCUGUUUUUGAGGCGAUGAACAACGGUAGUGAUUAGCAACGAUGAAUUGUGGUGCUAGCCUGCAAGAAGAGAAUUAGAACUUGGAAGAAAGCAUGACAAGCACUACAAAGAGUUGUCUAUUCUUGUUAACAAACAAUUAAUAGAGGGGAGGGACCCUUGGCAUAUGAAAAAUUUUCUGGUACUCUUUAACUUGCUAAAGAAGACUCUGAAUGGUCACAAUCACUUGAACCAGGAACAACAACGUCAUGCAAUCUAUUGCCAGACUUGUCGUGUCCUGGCCCAUUAACUUUCAGAGAGCUGGAAAGAGGUUUGGUUCCUCCACCUUUGUUUCUUCUCAAUUUAUGUCACAGAGAUGAGAGAGAGUCUGAUCGCUGGAUGACAAGGGCAGGCAUUAAAGCCAUGAUCAAGAGAUAAAAAGCCUUGUAGUGUAGACUGAGAUUAUGCAAUUGUCAGGGAAGGAAAUGAGGCCCCAUGUACAAAUUCAAGUCCUUUUCAUUCAUAGAUUUUUAAGGAAAUUGAUAGCAGCUAAGCAGAGUAAGAACUGGAAAGCCUAGAAUAUAAAAAGUAAAUGUGUAGGUUUGCUAAGAUCUACUAAGAUCAUCUGCUAAUAAGAGCAUUUACGCAACAAACACAGCUGUGUAGGUCUAAAUCAAUUACCAUUUACAUUUGUAAACACUCAUCGCAUGUCCUCAUCACAUUGCCAAUUUCAAACGCACAGAUUUCAAUGACUUGUGGGUCUGCAUCAAACACCAACUGCAGUACCUAGGAGAUUAUGACCCCAUUUACAACCUUCAGUUCUCGUUUAUCAUUCUUGCUGCCUGCAAGUCACAGCAAAAAAAAAGAGGAAAAAAAAACCUGAUCCCAUUACAAACUUAAAGAUUAUGACCCCAUUUACUACCUUCAGUUCUUGUUUAUCAUUCUUGCUGCCUGCAAGUCACAGCUAAAAAAAAGGAAGAAAAACUGAUUCCAUUACAAACUUAAAGACCCACACAGGCCAUGGGUCCUGAAGCAGAGCACCACAAGAGGCCUCAUCAAGUUUUACGGACAUCAACUUUACCCUGGAUCUAUUUUCUUCAUUGCAAUCUACUAUUACAAAGUACUAAGAACACAAGAAAUAAAACUAAAACUCAAAAGAUUGAAAUUUAUAUAAAAGAGUUACAAACACCUAAGAGAAAGAAACUUUUCCUUUCACUUGUUUUUUACAAUUUGUGAGACUCAAGAACUUCAAACCUAUAACAAAAAGCCAACAGAAUACAAAAGGAAACCAUAUAUCUAAAUGACCAAACUGAAAGACUACAACUAGUUACAGGCUUCAAUGGACCUGUCAAUGCACAAUUGCAAUAAAAAAAAAAACUAAUUACCCUUCCAGUUCGUGAUCUGAUCAAGAAGCACCCCCCAACAAUCCCAUUCGAUGGCGUAUAAUACAAACUAGAACAUUGUUCCACACCAGAGAAAAAUUACCAGGUGGAAACUUAAAUCAAAUUCAAGUCCAGCCCCAUCGAUUAUCGCCAUGACGAAACUGUGAGUAGUGGCACCUCAUUCCAAGCUAAAGUUAAGAACCCAGGCUGAGAAUCAUCAAGAGAAUACAAAUCACUGUAAUUGCAAUACCAUAAGAGUAUCUUAGCCUGACUCAUUGCAUAAUGGCUAAGCGAAACCGAUUCAAAACCUGAACUUUCCAUUAAAACUCCCCAUUGAUCUUUAUCCUCCAUCCUUUCCCUUCUCAUUCCAGGCUCCUCUGGCCCUACAACACUAGAAAUUCUCUGACCCAAUAACAACCUCUCAACUUGAAGCCUCUCUGGUGAGUCUCUACUCAAGUUAGGCUCAAGAGACUCAAAAACAGCAGUGUAGUAUCUCAAAGCAUUCUUAAACCGAGUCAAGUACCCAACCCGGUUCAAACUAGCUUCAUAUUCACCAAGAGUGACAAUUAUCGGGUUCAACGAUUUAGCCAUCUUUAAAGCAGUUUCUACAGCAACUGGAGACUCAUCCAAUAAAUUAUACAAUUGAAGCAUGAAAUUAACAGCCAAAACCUCAUCCGGCUCGGCUCGAAAACAAGAUUCAUUUAACUCCUGAAUUGGAGUCAGAAUAGGCUCAAACUCGAAAUUCAAACCAAGAAGCUUGGCAUAAUCAAGAAGCCUAUUACCAGUAGCUAAAAGAGAGGCAGCUGGAUUCUUACCAAGAACUGGAGCAGGUAUACCUGAGAUCCGAAUUCUAACAGGUUUUCCAGCUGAACGUGUAGCUAAAGCUUGUAAAAGAGCAGCCCAUUGAACUCCAUGAACAAUACCAAAAUCAACUAUGUGAAUCUUGCUUGCUUUCUCAGUUGCCUCAAGAAUUGCUUGGUUUGCUGUUAAAUGAGCAAACUUUGAAUAUGGACAGGCAUCAUUCAAAGCUUUAUAGGACAGAGUGAACUCUUCACUUGUCUGAUCAAAAUUUUUCAAGACAUCAAGCUCUCCUACAGCAACUCUUCGGCAUAAUCCUUCCGCGAAGUAGAAACCAGCUCGCUCAACUGGAUCACCGUUUUCACUCACCAAGUCCUUGCACUUAACCAACGAUUUCACGGCUUGAUCAGCUUUGGACUCGACAAGUUGAGCGCACUCAACAAGCGCUUUCAAAACCGGCGAGGAAGAUAACUGUACAAUUUCCUCUGACCCUCCGACGGUUUCAUUUUUUACUGUUGGCGGAAGCAGUGGCGGGGGUGACGUUGUGGGCUUGAUUUCUUGAGGAGGAGAUGGGGCGACCCAGAGCGAAUUAGAGAGAACCCCGUUAAGAUCAGACGGUGGAGAGCAGCCAACAGUAAGUCGACUGGGGCAAGUAUUAAACGGAUCAGAAGUGUACAUCCCAAAAUCAGUACUGUUUUGCCACGCGUCACAACCAGAAGGAAGAUUAGAACUAUCCGUUGAAUCUCCACCGUUCAUUAAACUGUCCAUCCACUCAUCCGAGUCAAACUCACCACCAGCUCCAGUAAAAUAAGGAAGCCGAAACCCGCUUGAGUGGUGCUGCUCCAUGUUCGAGAAACUAAACACAGGUGGGUCACCUGUUUCUUGUCCACUCUGAAAAGGGUCAGAGAAAGCAGCCGGACCCGAGAGCCCGUAACCCAAGUUUGGGUUAGCAGACAUUAUAUUAGUCGGCCAAGGAUUUAAAGAAAAUGGGUUUAGGCCAAGAAAUUGUUGCUGUUGGUUAUGGUGGUGGUGGUGGCUUUGUUGCUGCUGUUGUUCUUGUUGUUGUUUUUGCUUAAUAACUUGUUGGGCUAUUGCCAUUAGAUUUCCGCUAUCUGCACACAUAUAUGCCAUUCUCCAGCCAACCUUCUUACCUGCAAGUUACGUUGAAAGAAGACAUUGUUAGUAAAGAAAGAGUGACAGAAUCUUGAAAUGGUGGAUUUAUAGUGCCAUAAAAAAGCAGUCAAAGAAAGAAAGAAGCAGGGAGAGAGAGCACGUACUUAGAGAAGAGGGCAGUGAAGGAAGAGGAUCACCAGCUGGAUUUGGUGAUGAUGGGAGACAGUGGGGAGGGGGGGGAGAGAGAGAGGGAUUUUUAAGUUCAACGUUUAGAAUAGAGGAGGAGGAGGAGGAGGUGAUGGACAAACGAUGAUUAAAGUCUACACAGACGACGAGUGGGGGCCACUUAUGCGAUUGAAGAAAAUAUUAGUUUAUGGUUUUUAAAUAGGAUUUUAAUUUAUGGUGCUAUAAUGAGAUACGGAGCAAAUUGUAUUUCUUAGGGUUUACAUUUUAUUUUAUUAAAAAAAAAAUUGGGAAGAGCAAUUUGUAUUUGGUAUUAUUAUGUAAAAAAAAUAUUUUUUAAUUAAAAAAUAUUUUUUUUAUUUUUUUUACAUUAUCACAUUAAAAUCAUCAAAAAUAUUACAUUAAUUCUUUUAAAAUAAAAAAGUUAAAAAUUAUCACAAUACAAAUCAGUCUCUUGAAAUAUUAUGUAUUCUAGAAUUAAUAUCCUUCUCUGAUUCUAGAAAAAUAAGAUGUAUAAAUAAUUAUCAUGAUAGAUUUCAGUUUGAUGUGAACUAAUUAAUUAUAUAAUGAAAUUGUAUAGUAUUUAGUAUGAAUUAAAUCUGAGUUUAAAAAAAAUCAAAAUUGAUUUGCCAAAUCUUUUAAACAAAUUCAUUUUUUAUGAAAUAAAAAAUUCACAUUUAAUUGCCAGCAUAUAGACAUACAGAUACGUAAAGGAUUUUAAUUUCUUGAUUAAUCAAAUUUAUAUUUCAGUGAUCUCAACAAAAUGAGGUAAUAUUAAUUUAUUUGCUAGAACAUUUGACUCCCUACUUUAUUUUUUUCUUUAUAAAUCUGUACAUAUAAAAAAUAGAAUACGAUCUCAUAUUUAAAUAGAAUAUUUCUAAAUUACUUACAUCACAUGCUCAAAUUAUUCAUUUAACUCGUGAGAAUAGCCAAGCUUUAAAUUUAUGUUAGAUUUAAAUUAUUCGACUAAAGGGUAUGCCAAAAUAAGUAUUUUGAUAGUUCAAAAGGAUUUUGAACGGUAUGGGUCAUUUUGAAUCCAUAGAGAAAAUAGAUGGAUAAUAAUGUAUAACCAAGGCUUAAUCCAGAUGAAGUUUAAGAAUGUAAAUCAUUAAUGGAUUUAUAUAAAUUUUGAAAUCUUGUUUCUAAAUGGUCAGACAACGAUUGAAUUUUACAGUAGUACGCUUAGCAUUGAUUUAACAAGUAAGGUUCAAGUAUUAAAAUUAAAAAAAAAUACAUAUAUUUGGCCGGCUAAAUAUAUGUAUUUUUUUUUAAUUUUAAUACUUGAACAUGAGAGAGUCGGGAUUUUUUUAUUGAAUAAAGGUUGUAAAUUUCAUUAGCUUAAAAAAUAAAACAAGCCAAAACAAAAUUUAUUUUACUCGAAUCUCAACCUAACAAAAUUUAUUUUACUCGAAUCUCAACCUAACAAAAUUUAUUUUACUCGAAUCUCAACCUAUUCUGGAAAUUCUUCUUGGAACGUUCUAUUUAAUUCAUGUUUCUUCUUUAAUUUCAUCUUCAAAAACUUGGUUUAUUGCUUAUUGUGGUUUACUUCUUUUUUUUUUUAUAGUUAUUCCAGUCUCAUGAUCCAUGUCAUAGGUUCGAAGAGUUGACUUGAUUUUUUUUUUCAAUUAACUUUUUUUCUCCACUUUCAUAAUUCAACAUUUGUUGAUUAUGAGUUAAGCUUUGUCAUUUUUCUCAGUUUUUUUCUACAAACUUAUCUUAGUCUCAUGACCCAAGUCAGAGGUUUCACCAGUUAACCUAAGUAUACUUAAUUUAUUUUAUUGUGUCCUAUUUUUUAGUUUGAUUCUUUCUCAAUCUCAUCAUUCAACAAUGAGUUUAUUGAGAAUUGAGUUUCAUAAUUUAUUUUGAUUUGCUUUAUUUUGGGUUAUUACGGUUUAAUGACUCAGAUUAUGAAUUUGAAAGGUUGACCCUAGUUAAUCCAAUAUGUUAUCGUCCCAAUAUUUUUUUCUAAAAAAUAUGUUGUCUUAAAUUUUUCCUAGUCAAACUAUAUUUUUAUCAGUCAUCCCGGUUGUCUUUGGUCCCAUCGAGUCGUUCAAAUCAUAUCAGUUUAACUCCCACUUUUUUACUUGUGUUUGAAACUUGAUUUUCAUAGUUUCAAGUUGAUUUGUCUUUGGAGUUUAAUUGAAAUUAUGUUUGUUGAAUUAAUAUUUUGAAUUAUAUGUGUGUGUUAAUAUUAUAUGAAUAGUACAACUCCAAAAAGACAAACUGAAACACUUUGAAACCAAAACUUACCGUUUCAAUUGAAAAAACAUAACACCAACCAAAACAAUAUUAAAAACCUUGAAAUAAACUGAUGCGAACUUCUUGAUCACAUGGUCAAAUAACCCACAAUGAAGAUGAUACAACUCUCGGAAAGUCAAGAAAUUAGGUUUAAUAGAAGUGUAACACAAUGAAAACUUGUCUUAAGGCACCAACAUUAGUGGAAUAAGAAACCCCUGCCCAACUAAUAUCAUUUUGCGAACAAGAAGUAUAAGGAAAAUGCCACAAGAUCAAUUAUAUCUUGAUAAGUCAAAUUUGUUCUUUAUCACAUCAAAGAAAACGUGUUGCAUCACGCAAAACGCAAGUUUAUUUAAUAGAUCUAUCAUUCUUAAGAAUUUCAGCUUACAAAACCUUAUAUAAUAGUUCAACUAAUAACCCUAAUGAACCUAAAACUUGUGGGCUAAUAUAUACCCACUUAUAAUGAACUCAAGGCAUGUUAAUUAAGUCCAAACAUAAAAAAAUAUAAUAAAUAUAACACAUAAACUAAAGUUGGUGCACCUGAUUAAACAAAAUAACUCGAACAAAAUUUAAACAAUGUCAUGAACAAAAUUCUCAUCCUAAAAAUACUAGGAUCUUUAUUGCCACCUUUAGAUAUUCAAAAUAAGCUAGGAAAUUGAUUGGUAAAGUUGCCUUCCUUUUAGUUUCCUUGUUUGUCUAGGAUAAUUAAUUGUAACUUUAAAGAAUCCUCUUAAAGUAUGAAAGCCCUUGCCGCAUUCCUUUAACCUUUAUUGUAUAGUUAUGAAACUCCCAAACUAAGCGGUCAAAUCCUUAUAGAAAAAAGAUCAUUGCCAAAUAGAAAUUUUAAAAGUCAAAAGGAAGUAAAUAAUAAAAUUUAUACAGCUUAUUCUGACCUAUAUCGCAAUGUCUUCCCGAAUUCUCACUAACUUGAGAUUUAACCCCAAUAUAAAACAAUAUUUUAGGAAACUAUGGGUAAAGUUUUAGCUCACCCAACGGUCGGAUUGAAAAUUAUGAUUGUUACUAUAAAACUAGACAGUAGACACAAUUACGCUAGAAUUCGAAUUUUAUUGUCCAACCCUUUCUUGGAUAAUAUCAUCAACAAUAAUAAAACACAUUGUUUUCUCCUAACUAGUGUCAUCAUUUGACUUCUCAUAAUCAACAAUAGUAAAACACAUUGUUUUCUCCUAAUAGAGGUGGGUUAUUUUCUUAGUUGGGUCUAAGAGAAGUUGAGUUUUAUGAAGGGUUUUUUGGACCCUUAAAUUUGGGUUUAUAAAAAAAAAUCUCAUCUCAACAAAUCACUUUUAAAAGAUACCUACCAAGUUUACAAGUUGAGUACCUAUCUUAUAAAAACACAGUGGUUUUGUCUUUCUUUUCAAUCGAGGGAUUAUAAAUACUCGAAACCUGAUCGAGUUGGAUAUGAAUAAAAAUUUUAUAUUAAAGUUCGAGUAUAAAUAAUGUCAAACCUGGAUACCUAAAAUAUAAUCAAGUCGAGUAUGAUUAACAAUUUUAUAUUCAAAUUUUGAGUAUGAAUAAUAUUAAACUUGGAUAUCCAAAACUUGAUUAGAUCGGGUAUGAAUAACAAUCUUAGAUUCAGGUUCAAGUAUGAAUAAUGUCAAACUCCAUCAUUAAUAUAUAUUGUCAUCCCAUACAAAAUCCAUGUAUAUACAUUUAAAAGGUUAUUAAAUGCCAUAAACUAGAAUUGUAAUAACUUCUGAGUUUGGGGUGACUUUGUACAAGACUUGAUCAUUGAUAUCAAGUUAACUAUACCGUACCUUUUUUUUUACUUUUAAGAAUAAAAAUUCAAAAUUUUAUUUAAAAAAUAAAAUAUAUAUUUUUCAUGAUAUAAUUUGGCCAAAUUCCGAAUCAACAAAUCAUUUAGUGUAUGUUUGUUGUUGCUAUUGCGUUUGCUUUUAAUGGUAGAGCCAUGUUGAGAAAAUUAGUUACUUCCAUGUUUGGGUUGUCCUAGACUUUAAGAGUGUCAAUAAGUUUGUUUUCUGUUUACCUAGUCAAUAAGAGUUUGUUUUGAACGUUGGAUAGUGUGCCUAUUUUCAUGUUGCUUUCAGUAUGUAUUAGUCUAUUUAUAGGCUGAUUGUUUAUCAAUAAAAUGAACAAGUUUAUCCUCUGCUUUCUUUAUAUCCUCUGCGUCUUAUUGUUACGUGUAAAAACAUCCUAGAGGUACUUUGUUUGUAUCAGUGGUAUCAGAGCAGGGUUAAGUUCCUCAAAAAAAAGUGAAAUUGAUAGCUUCUGAAAGUUUUGUACAACCUGUCAUUCCACGCUUUGAUGAUCACUAUGACCAUUGGAGCAUGCUCAUGGAGAAUUUCUUGAGGUCCAAAGAAUAUUGGACGGUUGUUGUUUCUGGAGUAGCAGAACCAGCAACAGAUGUUGUGCUGACCGUGCGCAACAGACAGAGCUUGAAGGGUUGAAGUUAAAGGAUCUCAAAGCAAAGAAUUAUCUCUUCCAAGCUAUUGAUCGCUCAAUUUUGGAAACCAUUCUUUGCAAAGACACAACCAAGCAUAUUUAGGAUUCUAUGAAAAAGAAGUACCAAGGUACAACAAGGGCUAAGAGGCAGCAGCUUCAAGCACUUUGUUCAGAGUUCAAAUUGCUUCGAAUGAAGUCAGGAGAAUCAAUUACAGACUAUUUUUCAAGAACGAUGGCAAUCGUUAACAAGAUGCGGAUCCAUGGUGACAAGACAGAGGAUGUUCUCAUUGUUGAGAAUAUUCUUCGAUCCGUGACACCAAAAUUUAAUUUUGUUGUCUGUGCUAUAGAAGAAGCUAAUGAUGUUUGUUUACUGUCAAUUGAUGAAUUACAAAGUUCUUUGUUGAUUCAUGAACAAAAAAUUAACCAGCAGGAAAAAAAAAAGAACAAGCAUUGAAGGCCUUAUCAGAAAAUCACUCUACACCCAGUAGAACUUAUAGAGGUCGAGGUAGAGGAAGCAGAAACAACAAUGAUCGUUGGAACCAACAACAAAAUCAUCAUCAUCAGAAGAGUCAAUUUCAAGAAAGAGGCAGAGGACGUGGAGGCCAUCACCCAACAACUCAUAGUUCAAAGUCAGCAAACAAGUCCAAUGUUGAGUGUUUCAGAUGUCAUAGGUAUGGCCAUUAUAAAUCAGAAUGUCAAACUGAUUUGAAUAAACACAGUGGAGAUCAAACUAACUUUGCAGAAAAGGAAGAAGAGGUGUCUCUUUUGAUGGUGUGUCACGUGAAGGAAGAAACUUAACAAAAUAUGUGGUAUUUAGACACUGGUUGCAGCAACCACAUGUGUGGAGAGAAGGAGACAUUUUCUUCCUUGGAUGAAUCCUUUCGCAGCUCUGUUAAAUUUGGUGACAACUCCAAAAUAUCUGUUAUGGGCAAAGGAAAGGUAACAAUUCAAACCAAAGGAAAUUCUACCCACAUUAUCGCUAAUGUUCUUUUUGUGCCAAAUUUAAAGACCAACUUGCUUAGUGUGGGUCAGUUACAAGAAAAAGGAUAUGAGAUUUUUUAUCAAAGAUGGAGUAUGUCAGAUUCAAGAUGCAAAGUUGGGCUUAAUUGCUCAAGUUAACAUGACGGCGAAUCAUAUGUUCCCACUUUAUCUCCACAACACAGCUCAUUUGUGUUUCUCAGCAAAAUUAACAGAUGAGUCAUGGCUAUGGCAUUUUCGCUAUGGGCAUUUGAAUUUUGGCGGAUUGAAAACACUACAACAAAAGAACAUGGUGACAGGGCUUCCUCAAAUUACAGCUUCUUCUCAAGUUUGUGAAGAAUGUGUUAUUAGCAAACAACAUCGUAAUCAAUUCCCACAAGGAAAAUCCUGGAGAGCGAAGAAAGCAUUGGAACUUGUUCAUUCCGAUAUUUGUGGGCCAAUUACACCACAUUCCAAUGGAGGUAAAAGAUAUUUAAUUACCUUCAUUGAUGAUUAUAGUCGGAAGUUAUGGGUUUAUUUUUUGCAAGAAAAAUCUGAAACUUUUGUAGCUUUUAAAAGCUAUAAAGCGCUUGUUGAGAAAGAAGUUGGGCACCCAAUAAAAGUUCUUCGCACGGAUCGCGGUGGAGAAUAUAACUCACAUGAAUUUGUAAUUUUUUGUGAGAACCAUGGAAUCAAGAGACAACUUACAGCAGCUUAUACGCCCUAACAGAAUGGUGUAUGCGAGAGGAAGAACCGCACUAUUCUGAAUAUGGUGCGAAGCCUUUUGAUAAUAAGUGGCAUUCAAAAAAGUUUCUGGCCUGAAGCAGUUAAUUGGAGCGUCCAUAUAUUGAAUAGAAGUCCCACACUUGCUGUCAAAAAUAUGACACCAGAGGAAGCAUGGAGCGGAAGGAAACCUGAUGUAAAUCAUUUUUGGGUUUUUGGGUGUAUUGUCUAUACCCAUAUUCCAGAUGAGAAGAGGAGGAAGCUAGAUAACAAAGGAGAAAAAUGCAUUUUUCUUGGUGUUAGUGAUAAGUCAAAAGCUUAUAAAUUAUACAAUCCUAACACCAUGAAAAUUGUCAUCAAUCGUGAUGUAGUAUUUGAUGAAAAAGAAACCUGGUCAUGGAAUCAAAAUGUUGUUAAAGAAAGUAUUCCAGCAGAUUUUGAUGAUCAUGAGAAAGGGCAGCAGCCUAUGGAGAAUGAGCAAGAAGUGGAAGUCACUCAAAAUGUUCCAAUUGAUCAAAGCCCACUUAGAGCUGAUUCACAAAGAUCUCAACGUGUUCAAAGAAAAGCCGCAUGGAUGACUGAUUAUGUGAUAACUGGAGUUGAUCAAAGUGAUGACCCACUUACACAUUUUGCUCUGUUUUCAUAUUGUGAUCCUACCAUUUUUGAAGUAGCUGUCAAAGAACCAAAAUGGAGAAAGGCUAUGGAUGCUGAGAUUAUAGCUAUUGAAAGAAAUGAUACAUGGGAGCUGUGUCAUCUUCCAAAAGGGCAAAAGACAAUUGGUGUAAAAUGGGUUUACAAGACAAAGCUGAAAGAGAAUGGUGAGGUUGAUAAGCACAAGGCAUACUUGGUGGCUAAGGGCUAUAAGCAAGAGUUUGGUGUUGAUUAUAAAGAAGUAUUUGCUCCGGUUGCAAGGCAUGAUACAAUCAGAUUGGUGAUUGCUAUGGCAGCUCAAAACUCAUGGCCUAUCUUCCAAUUGGACGUGAAAUCAGCUUUCCUCUAUGGAGAUUUGAAAGAAGAGGUAUUUAUCGACCAACCUCCUGGUUAUGUAAAACUUGGCAAUGAGCAUAAAGUGUAUAAGUUAAAGAAAGCUCUAUAUGGAUUAAAACAAGCUCCAAGAGCUUGGUAUAAUCGUAUAGAAACUUAUUUUUUGAAGGAAGGAUUUCAAAAAUGUCUUUAUGAACAUACACUUUUUAUAAAGAUUGAAGAUGAAGGAAAAAUGCUCAUUGUUUGCUUAUACGUAGAUGAUUUAAUCUACACUGGAAACAAUACAGCCAUGUUUGGAAGUUUUAAGAAAUCCAUGAUGGCUGAAUUUGAGAUGUCUGAUCUUGGCAUGAUGCAUUAUUUUUUUGGCAUUGAAGUGGUGCAGUCUUCUAUUGGCAUUUUUAUUUCCCAAAAGAAGUAUGUGCAAAAAAUCUUGGAUAGGUUUCAGAUGACGGAUUGUAAUCCUGUAAAUACUCCAUCUGAGUUUGGUAUGAAGCUGCACAAAGAUAAUGGAGGAAAGAAAGUUGAUGACACUCUUUACAAACAAAUAGUGGGGAGUUUAAUGUAUUUGACAGCAACAAGACCUGAUAUAAUGCAUGUUGUAAGUGUGAUUAGCAGGUACAUGAAAUGUCCUACAGAGAUUCAUCUCUUGGCUGCAAAAAGAAUUUUUCGUUACUUGCAAGGUACUAAGGAGUUUGGGCUGUUCUACAAGAAUGGAGAAAAAUCAAAGUUGCUUGGCUUUACAUAUAGUGAUUAUACAUGAGAUUCAGAUGAUCGAAAAAGCACAUCUGGGUAUAUUUUCAUGAUGGGGACAAGAGCUGUUUCAUGGUCAUCAAAAAAGCAACCUAUUGUGACAUUAUCAUCCACCGAAGCUGAAUUUGUUGCCGCAACAACUUGUGCUUGUCAAGCUAUUUGGCUAAUGAAAAUCCUCAAAGAGCUGCAUUUCAAGGAGGAUGGACCUACUCAGAUUUAUUGUGACAACAGUUCAACAAUAAAGCUUUCAAAAAAUCCAGUUUUACAUGGUCGAAGCAAACAUAUAGAUGUGAAGUAUCAUUUCUUGAGGGAUCUCACGAAUGAUGGAGUCAUUAAUCUUAUUUACUGCAGAAGUGAAGACUAGAUCACUAAUAUUCUAACCAAGCCUCUCAAGUUUCCUACAUUUCAGAAGCUCAGGAAGUUACGUGGUGUUUGCACUUCAAAUGAUUCAAUUUGAGGGAUGGUGCUUCAAAUUUUGACUCUUAUUAAACUGAAUGUUAUGUUUGGAACAUCAGUUUAAGGGAGGGAUUGUUGAGAAAAUUAGUAACUUCCAUGUUUGGGUUAUCCUAGUCUUUAGGAGUGUCAGUAAGUUUGUUUUCUGUUUACCUAGUCAAUAGGAGUUUGUUUUGAACGUUGGAUAGUGUGCCUAUUUUCAUGUUGCUUUCAGUUAUGUAUUAGUCUAUUUAUAGGCUGAUUGUUUAUCAAUAAAAUGAACAAGUUUAUCCUUUGCUUUCUCUAUAUCCUCUACGUCCUACUGUUACGUGUAAAAAUAUCCUAGAGAUACUUUAUUUGUAUCAAGCCAUUAUUAAAAAAAAACCGCUGAAAAAACAUGAAUUUAAAUAUGAAUUUACUGUUUUUUAAAGAAUUGUGCCAUACAACAAACUCAAAAACAAAAACAAAAACAAACACCCAUAAGCUUAAUUAAAAAGAAUUUAAUCUUAAAAAAAACUAAUCUGACAAAAAUGUAUCUCAAAAUUAAUUUUUGUACUUCCGCAACCUCAGUUUUUGAUGGCAUUUGCGCAGCUUCUUUCUGUUUACUGGGACUUGGGAAUCGCGGUUGUUGUGCUCGUAGGACACUUCCUUCUCGACAUGACAACAUCAGGUCAUCAACGUCCACGUGUACCACUUUUUUUUUUUUCUUCUUAAAAAUAUUUUCUCUCUCCUUUUCACUCCCGCUCUAUUCGGGUACCUUGACUUGGGGCCCACAGCCCACUUGACACGUCGAUCGUUAUACGGCGGGUCGGUGUCGCCGUCUUAAUGACGUCAUCUGUUGUGAUCUUCUUGGGGAAUGUAAAGUAUAUCUUUGCCGUCCAUUUUGGACAUCUAGCGUCCUCAUUUACCAAAAUGGAACCGCGCCACUUACUGUAGCUGAAAACGACGUUACGAGUACAGUACCUUGGCAGGAUAAUUUAGAUAAAGCAUCCAUCACCUGCAUCAUUAUGCUAACACGUAUGCACUUUCUUUGUUUGUUUUAGCUAUGAUUAAUAGUAAUUUUUUUAGUUAAUUAAAAACAAUAUCUUAUGCCUAUAAUAUUAUAGAUAUCAAAUAGUUAUUUAAUUAAUUAAUAUUAGCCAUCUUCAAUUUAUCAACUUUUAAUUUUAAAAAUGCCUUCUUUUUUACCAAUUUUCUCCAUCUUAUAAGUUUAAAUCCCAAUUUAUUCUAUAAUUUAGUAUAUUUUAUACUCACUGAAAAUACAAAUUGUAAUUUGAAAAAAUCAAUAACAAAGUAUAAUUUCAAUCAAAUCAUAAAAUAUUAAGAGUAAUUAUAUCAAUUUUAUUUUUAUUACUCUACUUAACCCAUGAUCUAGAAACUUCCGGCCCAAGUUUCAAGAACUAAUGGUUUUAACAGGUAGAUAAUUAUACCGUUGAGGACAAUUGCCCGUUUCUUUUUGCGUAGAUCGACAGGUGUAUCAAGUGGGGUCCCUUUAAGGGUUGUUAAAAGCCUUUCGUUUGGAAGUGGUGAAGAGGUGGAUAAGUAAAAGUAGAGAUAAAAGAUAAAAAGAGAAUAGAAAGGGGAAGAAAACUGAUCCACGGUGAAGAAAGAGGAGGACUCUCUAUUGAUAAAAGUGGGCAGAGCUUGCCAAUUAAGGACCGUUCUUUCUAGGGCGGUUAGGGGGCCCACGUGGACCCACUGUGGGGCCCUGGUGCCGAUGACUAAUUAGGAAAAAGCAGCACAAGACAGGGGUCCACCCAAAGGAGGAGCCAUCGAUCUUGAACCAAUGGAAAUGAUCAUAAAAAGCAACGGUGGAGGAUACUUUGAGGGAGGGUUGCAAGAUGGAAAAAAGUGAAAGCAACCCUAGAUGGGUUAUGGUUUUGGCAUGGAUCUGUGGUGUAUCCACGUCAGGAAGACCCCCGGUCAACUUGCAACGUCUAUAUUUUAUAUUUUUACACACACACACGCACCCCGAUUCAAGGAUGCAACUUUUGAAGUGUGAUAAAUAACAAAACGUCUUGAAUCUUUGAGUGUUCGGUGUUUAUUAUGAUUGGUGAUUUUCAAAAUUAUUUUUUAAUUAAAAAUAUAAUUUUUUUUUUCAAUGUUUUCAUAUCAUUAACAAUAUUUUAAAAAAUAUUAAUUUAAUAUUUUUUUAAGUAAAAAUUACUCUGAAAAGCAGAAGUUAUCACAGUAUCAAACCGGCUAAAAGUUUAUUUGUUUUCCAAACAAAAAACACUCUAAAAAAAUCACUACCAUAAAAUCAAACACUAAAAGUAUUUUUCAAAAAUAGUUUUCACUUGAAAAUAUAUAAAAAUAAUUUUUUUUUUAUUUUUUAUAUUAGAAUAUUAAAAUCAUAGGAAAAUACUAAAAAAAAAAUUAAUUUAAUAUUUUUUUAAAAUUAAAUAUUAAAAAAAAAACAUACAGGUACAAUUUCAAACACAAGGGUAGGUUUGUUUCUAUUGUUAGCAGCCGUGAAGGAAAAUGAAAAUGAACAUGUUGUUUUAACUUCUUUGAAAUAGUUAGCCAUCCUAAAAGGAUUGGCCUUGUAUAUUUGUCAAACAUGACUCUAAUUGGCUCAGGCCAGUCAUGGAGAUAAGGUAUCCAUCCGAUCAAGUUUGACAGUGAUGGAAUGGAACUAUCUUCGAUGAUAAGCACGUGGCACUCUCGAAUUUUCAAAGAUCUUAGAUUUAAGAAUUCUUUUUAAUUAUAUCCUUCGAAUCAAGAUUUAUUUCAUGGAAAAAACAUGUUUGUCACCCCAAAAAAAAUAUGUAUUAACUAUAUGGCUUUUAUUUUAUUUUAUUUCAUGCUCAACCUAAUAUUUUAUAUUGGCUCUACAUUUACUACUAUCUUGGUUGUUGAAUUUUGAACCAAGUAACCCUAAAUCUUGACCGAUUUGAAUCCAAAACGGUGUUUGACAACCAUGUUGUGUCUGUUUUCAACUAUAAUGCAUGCAGAGAUGCCUUUAAUUUUACCUGACAGAAGUUAGUAUAAGAUAUAUAUAUUUUUAAUUGCGGAGAUUGGGAUUUGUUUCAUAAAACGUGGCUAACGGAAACAUUUUAUGCCAAAUUCAACGUGCGGUGUAUUCACUCUCAGGGUUAAUAUUUUAUUGAAAUUGUUCUUACAAAAAAUAUAUAGAAUAGAAAUGAGAUUUUAUUUUAGUUUAUACAGUGGAGAGUUGAAUGAUUAUAAACUAGUCUAAGUUAAGUAGUAUGAGUUUAAGUCAUACAUGUAUGCUCGGCUUGGAUCCUAGAUCUAGAUUUUAAAUCCUCGUUUGAGUGUUUUUUUUUUUUUUUGCUGAUUUAUUUUAGAUUUGGAUUUCAAGUUUAUUAUAAAAUAAUUUCUUGAUCCAUAAAAAAAUAUUUUUUACCACUCUAUAUAUGAAUAUUCAACCUGUGAAUAAAAAGCUGAACAAUUAAUCUUUUUUAUUUUUCUAAAUAGUUUUUUCAAAGGAUAAAAAAUCUAGAUUUAAAACUAAAAAUUAUUAAGUUUUUAUUUAUUUUUGAUGAUGGGUAAUUAAGAUAAAAUUUUAAUUUUAAUUUUAAAAAUCAAUAUAAAUCAGGGUUGAAGCCUCGAAGGGGAGAUGUUUCACACUUUUUUUUAUGCACAACUCCAAUCUCCCUCCCAUAUGUUUUACCUUAUUUUCUCUCAUUUCUAAAGAUUAAGUUCUUUUACUCCAGGAAAGCUUUUGAGUAUAUGGUACCUUGGUUCGAUAACUUUUAAAAUAAAUUUACAUUUUAAAAGUAUAGUUGUUGGAAUUCUAAGAAUUUUAUUGAUUUUAUUUUUUUAUAUUAAAAAAUGAAUAAUAAAAUUUUAAGGAUAAAGAAUCUAUCGUUAACAAUUUAUCAUUAACAAUAAUAUCUUGUUACCUUUUGUGCUUGUGAGUUCCAUUGUCAAGUUCUCUACUUCUAGUUUUAUAUAUAUAUAUAUAGUCAUAUUUGUUUACAUGAAUGCAUGGCUAAGUUUUAUAUAUAAAUUUGCAACUUUGACUUGUUUAGAUACUUUUUUAUAAAAUAUAUAAUAUAAACAAUUGUAAUUUUUUGUUCAAUCUAUAGCUCACAACAACAACAAUGUAUAACGAAAAAAAUGCACAAUACACUUGUAAGUAAUUUGAAUAAUGAUGGUCAAAUACUUACAAACAAGACAAGCAAUUUACCCUAGGUGAUCAAAGGGUAAACUAGUAAAUAAAAUAAACUAAAAAUAAUGAAAUUAGAAAAAAAAAAACAUAAAGUCUGAAUUCCAAAAAUAGAACAACUUAGGCUGAUUUUAUGGGUCCUAUCACGAGAAAAAAAACCCGAAAAUGGAGAUUCAAAGUGGAUUUUAACCUUAAAAUUGGACAAGAAUCGUAUAUAUAUCCUUGCCCCUAAUUAAUUAGACAAGAGUCGUAUAUAUAUUCUCUUAUAGUGACUGAAGCCUUCUUCCCAGAUUAGACGUUGUUGAACAAAGUGAAGCUUAAUUGGAUUGUAUCAUAGCAUUAUUCAAGAUCUUAGUGCAAGGUGUAGAAAAAUUAUAUUUCCAACAAGUAGACAAAAUUUCAUGUCAUAGUCCACCGCUGUUAGUUGUCUGAUUAGACAACAAAUUGUUGCAGAAGUCUAGUAUUCGGCUCCCUUUUUAAUUUUAAUUUUAUUUUUUUUGUGUUGCAUGUUUUUUAAAUUAUUUUUUAUUUGAAAAAAAAUAUUAAAUUAGUUUUUUAUAUGAUAUUAAAAAAAAUCAGUUUAUUUUUAAAUUACAGUUUUCUAUCUUUUUUUUUAGUUUAACGUGAGUGUCCGGGUCAGCUUGCGCGUACCUCGACUAAUCCAACGGGUCCUGAAGUUAACGAUCAUGUAAGCCUCCAGUGGCUAUCAUAUGAGCAACCACAGGGCUCGAACCUGAGACCACACAGGAAACAAACCUCUUGAUCCCAAAUUUUUACCACUAAACCACCACCUAGAUAAUUAACCGUUUUCCAUCUUAAUUAACAUCUUAAUUAAUGGAAAGGAUGUUGUAGGUUUUGCAAAAGCCUACUCUCUCUUUUGUUGUCAACGGUACUGUGAUAAUAGUUAAACUGACAUUAAUAUUUCUUUUGCAAUAAAAUCAGUUUAUUUUAUUUUUAUUCAAUUCACUGUAGUUUUUAUUCAAUUCUUGGCUAUUGCCUUAACCAGGUCUGACUGGCAAAAAAUAUCAUAUUUUGCCAAGAUUUCAGACUUCAAAAGCGAACGACGUGGCAGUCACAGUAGAUAUGUAUUUGAUAUUAGGAUGUAAAUGUUUUUUAAAAAUAUAUUUUUAUAUUAAUAUAUUAAAAUUAUUGAAAAAUACUAAAAAUAAAUUGAUUUAAUAUUUUUUUAAAAGUAAACUUUCAUCUUGAAACACACUCCCGAACUUACAUAAUUAAAAGAAAUUAACAAUACCAUACAAAAAAUGGCAAAAUUAAGCGCAGCAAGAACUUGAAGAUUACUAAAUCAUCCAUGAAAAACCACAAACAAAAACAGUCCCGAUAACUACAAAGUCCACGACGUGCAUUAGCUUCUUUCCUAGGCGAGUCGUAAGGAUUUGGGUCCUCUAGCAAUAUUGUUAGCUUUAGAGGUGGGGUUUGCCGUGAUAGCUUAAUGGAAAGAUAGGGUUUGGUUCUUAUCGUCAAAAAACAAAAAACAAAAAUAAAAUCAGAAGCCCUAUUUCAUGAAUCAAGCUAUUAUUGACCCGAUCACACGCAUGCAAUAAUUAUGUAUCAUGAUUAUUUUGGUGACCAUAAUUAGUUUAAUUAUCAACUACAUUAAAAAAAUAAAUUAAAAGAUAUCAUGAAAAUCCGUGGUUAUAGACACGUCUCACUGUUUAUUGGAAUAGUAAUUAAAAAAACUAAAAAGUAUGGUAAUCAUAGACACAUCUCAUUGGAAUAGUAAAAUUAUAUUUUCACCGUUAAUAAAAAAACUAAUAAAAUUUACAAUUAGGGUUAGAAUUAUGUUUUAAAGAGAAUACAUUGGUUAUUGCAAAGUCGAUUGGGGAUAAAUUGAUCCGAACAUCUUUUCUUGUUACAGUAAAAUAACUAUUUUGCUAUUUAAAACAAAAAAAAUGUUAACCUUUAAGUGAAGGGUUUUUAGUCUUUUUAUUUAAAAAAUUACACAUUUAAGUUAUGGUCAUACCCUUAGGAGAAAAAAAAUAAACAUGCAAAAAAAGGCUUCUUCGUCCUUUCUAUUUUUUUAAACAGUUAAAUGGCAGAAUAACUCUUGGAAUAAAAAAAAAAAGGGGUUGAUUUCAAGGUUGUUUUAUUCUUUUUAUUCUAGUUUUUUAUUAUUUUUGGAUUUGGUCAGGGGCUGUUUGGUAAUUUUCAGUAAUUAAAUAUUAUUAUAAUUUUUUGCCACGUGUCAGCGCGUGAUGCCCCAGCGCCCUUCGGGCGGCGCGUGCGGAGCCGUCCAGUUAACAAAAUCCUCCAUCCGUGAUGGCUUUGGGAGCGACAAAACGUUCUAUUCUUGGUGGUGUGUCGCAUGCUCACGAAGGAGGUCCGGUUGGGAUGAGGUGGAGUUUUUUCUUUCCCUUCUCUCUUUUUUAUCAUGCCCUUGAAAAAUCUUGCCAACCCUUUAAAAAAAAAAGUACUUUAGAUUGUAAUUGUAUCAAUUUUAGCCCUCUUUCUUUAGAUUAUUAUUUUUUUUUUGCUUUUGAUGCUUUUUUAGGUUUAACUUUUUUUCAAUUUCAUCCAUAUGCAUUUUAUUUCAUUUAAUUUUUUUAUCCAAUUUAGUCUCUCUAUUUUUAUUGCUCUUUUCAUGUGUUUUAUAUUUUUCUUGAUUAUUAUAUUUUUACAAUUUUGUCCCAUACCAUUUUAUUGCAUUUGAUUUUUUUAUCCAAUUUUGGUCCUCGUUAUUUGGAUAACUUUUUUUUUCUUAUCCUUUUCUUAGUUUAUUUUGUUUUUCACUUUAACCCCUAAUUUGUUUUCUUUCAUUAGUUUAUAUCAUAUUUAGUCUGCAUUGUUUGGAUUUUAAAUUAUUUUACAGUUUAAUAUUUUUACCUUGUUGUUUUUUCGUGAUUGCCUUCCAACAUGGCAAUCUUGGCCUCAUAACCGGGCUCAAUUUAAGUUCAGCUUUUUUUAGGGGUCCUUUAUUGAAAAUUGAUUUUUUUUUCAAAUUCAUUGUUUGACAUUUAGUUAUUAGGCCCUUGACUUCAUUGUUUGUUCUACUUUUUUUUUUGUUGAAUUAUCCUGAUCUUAUAUCUCGAGUAACAGGUUAGUCAAGUUAACCGUAGUUGACUUAAAUUUUUUUCCUUAAUUUUUUUUUUAUAAAAUUCAUUUUUUUUACAACUUCAUCCUUUAAUGUUAAGUUACUGACCUUUGAGCUAUGUGGUUUUUUUGUUUUUCUUUAUAUUGGGUUAUUUCAAAGUGCAUGUUAGUCAAGUUUAACCCGGGUUAGUUUGCAUUUUCUUUCUCAAUGUUUUUUUUUUAUUGAACUCCAGUCUUUUUUGCUAGGUCCUUCUCUUGAAAGUCUAUUUCUUUACCGCAAUCUCAUGCCGUGAAUGACGGGUUAGUCGAGUAAACCUAAGUUGACUAACAAAAAAUUUCAUUGGUUUUUUUAUGAUUUUUUUUUUAAUUUUAUCAUUUUGUAUUAAAUUAUUUGUCAUUGAGCUUUGUUAUUUUUUCACUUUUCUUUCUGUUUGGUUAUUGUGAGGGCGAGUUGUCAAAUUAACUCGAGUUAGCAUGCAUUUUAUUUCUCAAUGUUUUUUUAUUCAACUUUAAUCUUUUUUGCUAGAUCCUUCUUUUGAAAGUUUUUUUUUUUUUAAUUCAGAUCUAGUGCCAUGAGUGGGAGGUUAGUCGAGUUAACCUAAAUUGAAUCAUAUUUUACUUUAAUGCUCUUUAAGAUUAAAAAAAACAAAAAAAAAAGAAGAAGAAGCAACUUUGGUUCAUGAUCAUUUUUGUUUUUUCACAUUGACUCUUUUUUUUUUGUUAUUUUUAGGUGGAGUGAGGGGUUGAUUUAUCCUUUAACAUUUAAAUAAUAUUAAAAAAGUGGUUGAAGUGUGCAUUGCACAAGUCAACGCACGGAGGAAUGUCGCGGUCUUUAGGCGGGGUAUGUAGCGGCGCUGCUGUCAAACGAAUGCUUCCAAGGCGGCUUCCAAAUCAUCUCAGCAACUUCUCCAUCCUUGGUCAGUGUAUGUCUUGAACAUACCUUUGAUUUGGCGUUAACAACCCCUUUUUUUUCUUCCUCUCUGUUCUCCUUGUUUUGGCGCCUAGCCCUGCAAAUUUUCAAAGCUACCCCUCAAUUUGUCUUGCCUUCAGAUUUGGUGCAUGUUCUUUUGGUUUUUAAUUUUUAUCCUUAGCCCUUGGUUCUUUUGUAAAGUUUUGAUUUUUUUUAAUUUCAUCUUUAAAUCUCAAUUUAUUGUUUUUUUUUUCCACUUUGGUUCUUAUUCUUCUGAAUUUUUUUUCUUAACUCUUUUGUGUAAUUGUUUUUGGUUUUCAAUUUGAUCCCUUAAUACAAAUUUAUGGUAUAUUAAUUUUUUCAAUUUAGUCCUUAUUAUUUUGAUUUUUUUUGUUCCUUUUGUUAAAAUUAUUUUUCUUCUCAAUUUCAACUUUUAGUCGAAGAUUGUGGUUGCCCUCUAAUUUAUUUUUUAUUUUGAUUUUAUUUCUAUUCUUCUAAUUGCUAUUUUUGGGUUUUUUUUUAUGAUUGUUUUAUUUUUUUCAAAUUCAUCAUUCAAUAUUUGAUUUACCAAGGAUUGGUUUUCACGGUUUUUCCAUUUAUGGUAGUUCCAGUCUAAUAACCCAUAUCAUGGGUCUGAUAUGUUAACACGGGUCAACAUCCUUUUUUUCUUGGUUAUUUUCCUUUUGCUUUCAUCGUUUGACAUUAUUUUUUUUUAAAAAAAAUUGACUCUAUAAUUUUCUUCAAUUUCUUUUAUGUCAGAUUAUCUCAGUCUCAUGACUUGAGCUAUAAGUUUUUUAUGUUAAUCCGGGUUGGUUUGCUUCUUACCAUCCAAGUUAUAUAUCUAUCAUGUUAUCUAGGGUUGAUUCACGCUAAUUUUUUAUUUAGUUUUGUGCUUCCAAAAGUGUUUUUUUAAGUUAUCAUGAUUUUUUAAAAAAAAAAUUAUUUAUUUACUAUCAUUGUCAAAAAAAUUAUUUAAAAUAAAUCAACUUAUUAUACUGUUCAGAGCUAUGUCAUUGGUUUUUUAUUUUUUUUUCAAAACGUACUUAUGGUGUCUGGACAUUGUUUUUACUAUGGAAAAAAUAUGGACCGGCUACGUAAUGCGGGCCCACACCUAGUAUAUAAUAUUAUCAAAUACCCUUUCCCUCGUGGAGGAACUUAAAAAAAUGAAAAUGCGGCUGAAAAUGAAAUCAAGACCAUUCAAAAUACAACAGGCACCAUCUAAUUCACUGGCACUUUCCUGGAUGAUAUUUGUGUGUGUGUGUGUGUGUGUUUGUUUACAUAAAAUUUAAUGAUAAAGUUAUAAAAUCUUAUUAACAUCUUCUUGUUAGGAUUUGUGAAGCUUUUGCUCAAUUUGAAUUUGGUAUUUUGCAAGAUAGCUAAAUCUUUUUUUUAUUAUUAUUAAUGUAGAUAUUCAAGUCAGUUUAUGUAUAUUUUGAUUAAUUUCACGGGUCUUGAAAUUAACAAUCAUAUAAAUCUUUAAUUAUACUGAAAUUUAUAAAAGUAAAACUGAUAAAUUCUAUAAACCAAACCUAAAAACUGAUUAAUUAAACGAAAGCCCCUCGUAGUUUGAUAGCUAAAUCUUGUUCUUAUAGUAUGAUGUCACCAUGUGGAAGAUAACGAGUUAACCCACUCAUCAAGCUGUUACCUUCUUUAAUUUGGUCCGUCAUGAAAGGCCGGCUGACCUUCUAAGUUUUAACUCUACGUCCAACUUGGACUCCAAUGCCUAUAGAAAGUCUCUAUCAAGGUUAAAUUUGUAAGCUUAACACCUACCCUGCUGUUUAUUUUUUGUGGUAGCUUCUCCUAAUGACGUUAUAAAUGUCACGAACAGGGCUCACGGGUCCAGUCUUGUCUUUUUUUCUUUUUAUUUUUUUUCGAGUAAUUGAGGGAUGAAGGAUUUUGAAGUUUGAACAAUAGAGCAUGGCCAUUGAAGUUUUAAUGUUGGUGGUUGUAUUUUGAGCAAACAAGAAAGCAAGUGAAUUAUAGGGGACCGAUAAUUUACUGUAAACCACUCUUUUUUUUUUUUUUUAGUUUUUGGUGCCGAGUAUUGACUUUUAGCUGCUUCUACUACUUGGAAGACAGUAGACAAAGAACGCUAAAUAAGAUCAGAGGAAAGUGAUGGCACAACGUGUACUAAGCAAUUUCUCCAUCAUUUUGAUUAGUCACACACUAGGAUUUGUUUCUUCUUAUUUGUUUUUGAUUGCUAAGCUCUUGCAAAACUGUAAUCCUUACUAGGAUAGUGGGUGCAUGUCUUCAUUGCAAACAAGAACAUGAAGUGACGAUCAUUUUUAAAUAAUUCUUUGUAAAUGAUGACAAAUGGUUGUUUUUCAGUCAAAUUUGCAAUGGAUUCAUGUUUUGAUCCGAAGACUGCUAUGGUGGCUUUAAUUGUCCUCACCUCAAGACAAGAUGGAGAGAGACGUCUAUUAUUUAUUUUUUUGUGGUGGGUGACAUUGUUUCUUUGACAAAUCAAAUAAACUACUCAUUACAGCAAUUUCUUUACCUUACUUUCAAAUUCCAUGCUUUUGAAACUAAAAACACAGUCCACUGGUCAUCACAACAAUAGUCAUAAUUAUUAAACAAGACAAUGAUGACUUAAAUGUAGACCACCCAGUAGUUAGUUGUAUACACGAUCGGUCUUUACUUGCCCCUCUAUCGUGAUGUUCUUGUAACGAAUUAUGAUAUAUCACCAAAAAAAAAAAAAAAAAUUGCUAUGAUAGAUUUCGACUUGGACGGUACCUGUUGAAGGCUCUCAUUUAAUCUUUCUGAAGAAAAAAACUUUACUCUUCUCCCUCUAUUGUCUCCAAUUCUUUCAAAACCAGCUCCCAGUGAUCUAUGCUGUUGUUGUAGUUUAGAUUCAAAGAUGACCACUCAUUAUUCAUAAUCCCACCUUGAAUCAGAAAGGAGAAAAGGCAGAAGAGAUGAUUAGCCAUGCCAAAAAGAAUUUCCCACCGAACAAAGCAUCUUCGACCUCAGGAGCCGAAAGCAAUAAAAACCUCUAAAACCAGCAACGAACCCUCUUUUUCUCGGGAAGAUGAGUAGGGAGGACGGGGUUGCUUCCUCCUUUUGGGUUGGGUCAUGGGUGCUAUCCUUCGCAGCAUGUAUCUCUUCCAUCCUUUUCCUCAAUUAUUAGCCACAGCCAGGUUAAUAUCCAUCCUUUCGUUUUUACCCCUUUCCCUACUUCCUAACAAAAAGAGCCUAAAACAAACUUCACAUCCCUACACUGCUUCCAUGUUGAACGGAUUAUGGCUUGGCCCAGGGCACAAAAAUAUAGUAAUGAUAUACGUUGAGGCCUACAUAUUAUCUAACAUUUCCUGGUAAUAGCAUGAUGAUUGGCGCCGAAGAAAACUAAUUGAGAUUAAAAUAAGGCAGUAAGUACACACCUAACACAUGCAACCAAUUAUUAUCUUAUUGACAGUUUUAGGAACAAGUAUGUGAUCAGUACACGCCACCUUAGACCAGUGACUCCAUUACAAUGUAGAAACCAAGAAGUUGGAAAUUGAAGAAUUUCAGACAAAAUUCCAAGCAACUCAUUGCUGGCUGAACUAACAAUGAAUCAGCAUUCACUUACUGCUAAAAAUACAAAUCCAACUUUGAUCGAUUAAGAUAUAUGGAUGAUAUCCAUCUUGAAUUUAGUAGCAUUACGGUCAAAGUGAUGUACCUAAGAUCGAUAAUUUAUUGCAACCGCAGGCUUAUUCUCACCAUGGAGGUUAUCGCAUCUCAGCGAAACCUCUCCACAUGCCAUCCUGGUUCUUUAAAGAUCAAAUAUAUAUCAAUAAACACGAGCCUUUGGUGGGAAGGUCUCAACCUCAUCAUCCAAUGUGUUCAUGUGAACUGGCCUGUAAUCAAGUCGGACCUUCUCCUUCUCCCAAUACCUGCAAAUCCAACAAGAACCGUCGUGUUAACAUGAAUGAAUAAUGAGUUUGACUUGGAUGGAAUCACAAUCCUCCAAACUAACAGGUUGACUCAUCAUUUGAAUUGCUCCGUUUCAGAAUUCAGUUUCUGCUAUGAUAACAGGAAAUCUACAUCUUCGAUUCAAAUAAAUAAUCUUCUGGUAGAAACAAGAUAUAAGACUUACCCCAGAGUGUGCUUCAUCCAUUUCUCAUCAUCUCUUUUCUGCAAAAGCAAAGCAACUUACUUUUAUUGCAAGAAAACUGGAAGCAAAAGAGAAACAAUUAACUUAAGAGAGAACUAGACUAACAGUGAAGUCUUCACGGGCAUGUGCUCCUCUGCUCUCUUUCCUGGCUUCAGCAGAGUGCAUAGUUAUACAGGCAUUUAUCAAAAGGUUUUCCAACUCUACAGUCUCGAUCAAGUCAGAGUUCCUGUUAAAAGACAUGGUAAUUGAAGUUCAAACAACAAAGAAACUGCAAAUAAUUUGAUCAUCAACAGCCUCAACUGUAAUAUACCAUAUUAAACUCCGAUCUUUCACUUUAACAUCAUGAAAGCUUUCCCAUGCUUUAUCAAUCAAAUGACAACCUGCAGAAGUAACAGGGUAGGAAUAAUAAGCAUAGUAAGAUAAAUAUGAUCAAAAUUAAAAUUGCCUCAAAAUAAUGGCAGUAUAAUCAAAUUGAAGCCAAUUGAAAAUUUAAAAUAGUUUAAAAAAUAAAAAAAAAUAAAAUUAGAACUGUGGGACUGGUAUUUGAGUCCUAAGCCCUUCCCUUCAAGUUCAUGUAAUAAUAACUCAAUUUUACAAUUCAUGCAAAAAGGAGAAAAAGAAAGGGACAAGGAAAAGGGAAAAAGAUUGGGACAAUCAAUAUCCAUUAAAUGCAGCUAGAGGAUGGUAUGCUAGAGACCGUAAUGGUUUAAUUUAAUGUACCAACAAGAGGAAGUAGUGAUAGUUCACUUUACUAGAUCAACAUGCAUUCCACAAAACAUGACCUGAGAGUUUUGGAAUUAUAGCAAGACAAAACAGUAGUUCAUGUAAAUUGAGUACCCUCUUCCAAUGUUUCUUGCGUGCGAAACACUGCAGCAUUGCUCUGCAUUAUCCUCUGCAUAUUUAACCGAAUUUGUGAAGUUGGAAUUGAUCCAUUUGAAUUUCUUAGUUUAUCCAGCCGUGCAAUAGUUCUCUCCCCAGCAUCCUUUUCCAAAGGUUUCUGUUUCUCCCCUGCAAUAUGAGAUUUGAAGACAUCAAAUCCUCGAGCCUUUCUUUUUCUUUGUAUAGGAAACUAAAUCCUAACACCUACCCAUCACUAAUUCAUCUACAGCAAUUAAACAUUCAACUUGCCUGGUCUAUGGAUCUCAGCUACUCUAUUUGCACAAGCUCGGCCAAACACAACAAUGUCAAGAAGAGAAUUUGCACCAAGUCGGUUGGCACCAUGAACUGAAGCACAGGCUGCCUCACCAGCAGCCAUUAGUCCAGGAAUAACAGCAUCUGGAUCAUCACCUUUAAUGGUUACUACCUGAAGAACAUAAUGAGCUACAGUUAAGAAAGCAGGAUACUGAAAAUGAAUUGUGUACGAGUGUGAUGGAAUCGAAAAACAACAUUGUCUGAUUUAAAAAAAUAUUAUAUUUUUGCUGAUUUGAAAUGUGCUCUUUCAUGAACAUGUUAUACUGAAGCAUGAUAAUUUAACCCUAAAGCACCUGGUUCUAAAUAUUUUCUCAAUUGAUUAUUUAGCCUUCUGUUGGUUUAUGUACACUUUUUUUUUUUUUUGAAAAAGUUUGGUUUAUGUACACUUUUUUUUUUUGAAAAAGUUUGGUUUAUGUACACAUGUUUUAUAGCAUCUGACUAGUGACAAUAGCAAAACCCAAAAGAUGCAUUUCUUUAGCUCUCACCUCUCCAUGGUAAUUUGUGGGGAUUCCACCCAUGUUAUAAUGCACAGUUGGUAACACUGGGAUGGGUUCCUUUGUAACAUCCACACCAGCAAAAAUGGCAGCAGUUUCAGAAAUACCAGGAAGCCUCUCCUUGAGCACAUCUGGGGGCAAGUGAUUCAAGUGCAGAUAGAUAUGGUCCUUCAAAGGUCCUGUCAAAACAGCAUGAAAUUCGUUCUAUAUAUUAAACUGAGUAUCCAUAUCAGAUAGAGAGCAGGUACUACUUUCAAUCCUUGUAGUCUAGUGUAACAGGGCAACCUAUGGAUAUAUAGCUUCUCACUCAAACCUAAAAGUAGAUAUCGGUCCAGGCAUAAAUAAAUGUAUUACAACUUUCCAUGAUUCACAAGAAACAAGCAACUGCGAAUAUAAACUAGAAAAGAACAAAAAUAAACAUAAGAAAUAUUUCUUACUAAAACCUACAUUCUAGUCAUACAAAAAUCUACUGUUCUGAGAAUCUGUUCUAGAUCAGCUCACAGUUCAAGUCAAAUCUUCAGGUACAAGAAAAAUAAUGAUAAUAAACAUACACAUAAAAUCUGCUAAAUGCAUGUCAUUAGCAAAUAUCAGGAUCUAGUAAUCAAGCAUACCUACACCGCGACCUUCCCGAAUUUCCAUGGUCAUGGAUCUUGAAACAACAUCUCUUGAAGCAAGAUCCUUGGCUGUAGGUGCAUACCUUUCCAUAAAUCGCUCACCUUCACUAUUCCUAAGGAUGCCACCUUCACCACGAGAUCCUACGUGACACAGAUAAAAAAUAGAAUCAGGCAUUGUUCAGUUUAAAAUGAAUCAAAAUCAGUUUAUUUGGAGAAAGUAAUCAUGCUACAUUCAUAACAUGCAAAAAAGAAGAAGGAAAAAGACAUGCAACGCGUUUUCCAAGUGAGCUGAAAAAAGAAGCAACCUUCUGUAAUGAGGCACCCAGCCCCAUAUAUGCCUGUAGGAUGAAACUGAACAAACUCCAGAUCCUGCGGAAGUAUACAUCAAGAAGAAAAUAAAUACCUGGAUAUGAAAACUUCUAUAUUACUCACUUCAGGUAUGAGAAUCACAGCUAACCUCAAGUGGAAUCCCGGCCCGUGCAACCAUUGCAUUUCCAUCUCCAGUGCAUGUAUGAGCUGAGGUUGCAGAAAAGUAUGUUCUACCGUAUCCCUGAGAAAACAUACAAGGAUACAGGUAAAUUGAAGUAAGGCAUCUUUUUCAAGUACUUGAAAUCCAGCAAGCAUUGGCUACAAUAUAGUACCCCUGUGGCCAGAAUUGUUGACGCAGCACGGAAUCGAUGCAAUGUCCCAUCUUCCAUAUUCAAUGCAAUUACUCCUUGGCAGCUACCUGUUCAUCAAACAUCAAUAAGCAGUCAACUUACAGCAUAUGCAUCCUCCAAGUAUAAUAACAAGAAAAUACACUGUUUAUUCUAUGUAAAGGCCUAAAAGAAAAAAAAUUUAAAAAAAGCAAGAAAUUCAAUAUAGAUAAUAAAAUAAAUGCAAUGUAAUAAAGCUUAAAAGUAAAUACAACUAAAAAUGAACCAAAAAGGCACCACUUAAUGUAACAUCUUGAAUAUGACUUGUACGGCAACAAUACAAAAUUAUCUUGAACAAUUAUGAGAAACCAUCAACUAGCCUAAUGGCAGAGAUCUGAUAAGCUCAGUACCCAAAAUCCCUUGAAGCCCAUGACGUAAAGAUGUUUCAACCAAUUAGAGCAACCAUGUACAAAUGGUUUUAGUCCAUGUACAUGGAGUUUGGUUAAUGGAGGAUGAUAAGGUCUAAGGGUAAUAAUGGGAAAAAAAAAUAAAAAAUUGUAUACCAAAUCCAUUCCCUCUAUUAUUGAUGUUUUCUAUGAUUUGGAGAGACUUAAAGGUUAUCAUAAAUCCUCCAAUCUUUCCUCUCUUUGGAAAUAAACCCCAAAACAAGCUUGGAGGGUUUAAUCCCUCUCCCUUCCCUUUAAAACCCUCCCAAACAUAGUCUGAGAUACACUGAUUGUUUUAUACCACCAAGCACAAACAAGUGAACAAUGUUAGAAAAAAAUGUAAAUGAUAUUUAUAAACAUACCGUCAUUAUUCAUUAUUAGAUCCAGAGCAAAAUAUUCCACGAAGAAUUGUGUAUUGUGUUUCAUAGCCUGGCCAUAGAGAGUAUGCAAAAGAGCAUGCCCAGUUCUAUCAGCAGCACAUGCACAACGAUAUGCCUGCCCACCUGUAAGAAUAACCAAAUAUUAGAAAGCUAUUUACAUAAAGCACAUUACUCUGCAAUCUCAAAUCACCUUUUCCAAAAUCUAGACUUUGACCCCCAAAUGCACGCUGAUAAAUUUUUCCAUCUUCUGUUCGAGAAAAUGGUAAACCAUAGUUCUCAAGUUCAAUGACUGCUUUUGGCGCCUCCCUACACAUGUAUUGUAUGGCAUCCUGAUCACCUGUGCAAAUAUCAUAGAACAUUGAUGUUCAAAAACAAAAUUUAGUCAUGAGCAUCACAAAAUAUAGAUUGUGAUAUUUGUGUGAUGUUCAUAAGCCCCUUAGCCUAAGUCCCAAUUUCCCAAAACACAAAGAUCUUUCAAAAUGAAAAGCGGUACCCUUCAGCAAAUAUAAGGAAUACACAUGUAAUGCCAGUGGUUUACUGUAUCAGAUGCCAAUUUAUCUUUGACUUUGUAAGACGAAGAUAAGUAUAAAGGCAGAGCAGCCUCAUUAAAUGUAGGAUAAUUACUUGCAUCACAGUAAAAUCUCAACUUUCCAGAUUCAAUGUAAUGCAUGCACUACAACAAAAAGUUCCUAGUUCGAUCAAGUAACAUACCCAACCAGUCACUUCCCUUGACAGUGUCGUACAUGUGCCAUCUCCAAUCAUCUUCAGUCAUAUUUCCCAGAGCGGCAUUAAUACCACCCUACAGAAUUUAGCAUUACAUAGCAUAUCAGUAAUACAUCCAUCCAAAAAGAAGCAGACUUCAGAUAUCAGAUAGUGGCAUCCCAUUUAAGUGCAGUUAAUGUUUAUACCUACAGUAACUACACCUGAUCCAACAGCGAAAACAUAAUAUAAAAAAAGUCAUAACAAGCAAAAAAAGAGGUGUUUUCUUAUCUGAAUCUUAAAGACAGGACCCUAAAGCUCACAUGCCCUCAUGAUCCCCAGUUAAAAAUCACACUAAGCACAAAGACAGCACAUGCCCUUCUAAUCCUCAUCCCCCAUUCACCCAAACUGCUUCCAAAAUAUUACCAACGGUUAAAAAUAUGAACCUCGUAUCCUAGUUAAAAAUCAUACUAAGCACAAAGAUAGCACAUGCCCUUCUGAUCCUCAUCCCCCAUCCACCCAAACUGCUUCCAAAAUAUCACCAAGGGUUCAAAAUAUGAACCUCGUAUCAAUAGCAAAACCACCCCCAGUGGUUUAGAAGCCCUUAUGUCUCUCAGUAAACAUUGUAUUCUUCCAACCAAGAAUGAAUUUAGGAAACCAAAAAUGUUGAUCCAGCCAUCUUUCUACACUUAAAGUAUGCACAAAUCAUAUAAUAUCAGCUAGAACAUAACUCAACCACAAAAUCUCCGAUACAUCAAUAUUUAUACUCUACCACCUUCAAGCUGACAGCAUACCUGAGCCGCAACGGUGUGCGAACGAGUGGGAAAAAGCUUGGUAAUGCAAGCCGUGUUGAAUCCAUGCUCUGAAAGUCCAAUAGCAGCUCUCAAUCCCGCACCGCCAGCUCCUACCACAACCGCAUCAUAAGUAUGAUCCACAACCGUGUACGAGGAUCUCCCCCCAGUCUAUCAAACAAUCCACCACAAACAUCAUAUAAUCAAACAAGCAAAAAUUUAACCUAGCUUAUUACGAAAAAUCACAAAUGCAAGAAAACAAACAACAAACAAUUAUCAAGAGCCGUGCUAAUUUUGAUUUGCAGCUUAUAUCAGCAAACUAGUAAACUAACUAGCUUUUAAAAAAAACAAUAACUCAUAAAAAAUCGAAUUCCUAAACAAUUAUAGAAAAACCCUCGAUAGUAGAAUCUAAACAGAAAAUGUAACCCUAACAUAAUACAAUCGCAUAAUAUUGAACAAAAAUCAACUAUUAAAGAAGCUUGAAAAUCACAAUCAAGUAACAAGUGAGCUAUCAAAAACCCUACGAUUCAGAUGAAAAUGAAAAGAAGAGACGUACAGUAUCGGUGGAGAAAAAUCUGGAAAUGUGAGAUCUAAAAGAGUCAUUAGAUGAUCUCUUGGUUGAACAAGGAAGGCGAAGGCCACGAGCCACGCACCGCCACAUCUCUCUCUUUUCUGUUUUUGUGUUUGUUACCUGUGAUGGAGAGUUUGCAGUGAAGGAAAGUUUGUUAUAAUAUUCUCUAUCAAUCUGAGAAACGGGGAGAGAAGGGGGCGUGUGUUCUAUUUUGUUUAAUUGCCAAAGGAACAAAAAGAAAACAUCGUUGGCAUUUUAAGAUAGAUAAUUGUAUUUUCUCUUCUCUCAAAAAAAGAAACAACAAAUCUAAUUUUAGUGUCCGCUUGUCCUGUACUUUAUAAAAAAAAAUAUUUUUUUUAUUUUUUUUAUUAUGAUAUGUUAAUAUUAAAAAUAAAUUUUAAAAAUAAAAAAUAUUAUUUUAAUAUAUUUUUAAAUAAAAAAAUUAAAAAACAAUUUCCACUAUGUUCUUAAAUACCUUUUAUUAAGAGACUAAAUAUUUCAUAUUUAAAAUGUUACUACCAUAUUUAUGAUCAUUUGAGCUAUUAAAUUUAAGUAAAAUAGUAUACAAAAUUAUUUAUUAAAUUUAAUUUUAUAUGUAUCAAGAUAUUUAUAUUAUAGCAAUCCCAAAUAUUAAAUUAAAAAAAAAGAAUAGUAAAAAAAUGAUUUAAUAAAUUCAAAUAUCAUGGACUUGGGGCAUGGGUGUUGGAUCAAAAUAUUUAUUAUAACAAUCCCAAUUGUAAAGUGAAAUAUAAGAAAAUUCAAGACAAUUCGAAAUUGCUUUCUAUUCCUCUUUUUCUUUAUUUUAAUCCAACUAUUACCAUUUAGAUAGUAUUUAAGUACACUAACAAAAUAAAAUAAAAAGAAAUAACAUGUUUUUCUAUUAUUUAUAUUUUAAAAUAAUAAAAAUUCGAUCUCAAGCUAUUUUUUAUGUCCUUGUCUAUCCAUUAAACAGUCUUUUUUCGGAAUCUUGUUAUUUCAAAGUUUUUGUGCUAAGUCAAUCAUUCGUGAAGAGUUGGUAGACGUUGAUAGACAAUAAAUGAUGCAACGUGGCAUGAGUUUGGAGGGUGAUCAUGGUGAUUUAGGAGACCACAAGAACAACUUCAAUCGAUGGUGACGUGGCGGUUGUUGCGGAGAGGAACCACGUUGGUGCUCUUUUUGGCCACGAUCAAUUUUUGAUGGAGGAGGUAGCCACGUAGCCCAGCAACCUCACCAUUAAACACCAAAAAAGUAUUGUACUUGUCAAGGGGUUGAUCACAAGCGUGGUCCCUCUACUUAGUUAAUUUGAGCAAUCGAAUACCCUACUUCCAAUUUAAUUGAUUGAGUCCUUCUACUUUCAGUUUUGCGAUAUGAACCCUCCGUCCAAUUUUCGAAUAUAGCAAUAUCACAGGAUAGCGGCUAAUAUGGUAGAUGGUAAGGUUCGUAUUCUUUUUUCAUUAGUAAACAUGUUUUCCUAAGCUCGGUUGGUGUUUUUUUGUUAUUAUUAUUAGUUAUAAAAAUACAGAGAGGAAUUAAAAGAAUUUUUACGUGCUUUCCGGUCAAUUUUUCAACAAAAUUCUAAGGAAAGGGACAAAUUAAAAAAAAAAUCAUAUUAUUUAGGAUGAGAUAUUAAGUGUUUUUUCUUCCUUGAGUUCAGAGGGUUUUUUUUAUAUAUAAUUUAUCCUUUAUUUUAAGAAUGCUUAAAAUAAAAGCAAUCACAGCGUGAAAAACUCUAGAAUAAUUGACCUAACCCCACCCUGCCUCCCUCCCCGACACUCGCGCUCACACACACAAAUACAUAAAAUAUGUAUUAAAAGAAUAAUUGUUAAUUUGUCAAAUUUAAUUUCUCGUAUGAAUGUUUUAGGAUAUUAAAUGUGAAAUUCAAUAAUAUUUAUCAUAGUCAGUUUAAUUUAUUUAAUAUAAUUAUUAUUUUUAAUUUAAACAUAGCUUUAAUUUGAAUAUUACAGGAGCAUGGGUGCCAAUAUUUUGCUUAGCAACAUUAAUUUAUGAUUAUAGUUAUAGCUAAUUAUAAAAAGCCUUUUAAGGUUUAAUCGCAUUUUAACUUUUCCGUUGUACUUUAAAAAAUUACAAUAUAUUAUACAAAAAAUUAAAAGAUAAAAUUAUCUUUAUAUAUAAUAUAUGAGAAGAGAUAGACUAUAUCCACACUUAACAUUUUUUUCUCCUUCUCUCUCUAGUCCUAAUAUAUCUCUUCUAAAAUUCACAAUCUCUCUCUCAUAAAACCUAAAAAUCUAAACCAUAACACUAAUAGUUCUCUUCUCUCAAAUCCAAACCAAAAUUUGAAUCCAAAUACUCUGAUUAAAUCCUACCCCAUCUAAAUUGGAUCUUCAAUUUUGAUUACUUCUAAUCAUAAUUGAUAAUUUCUCUUUUAGGGUUUCUUAAUUUGAUAUGCUACCAGGUUCCAGUUUAUAUUUUUUAGGUUCUAUCAUGCCUAAUUUUUAUAAUCUUAUAAAUGGGUUUAUAAUUUCUGAUAUCGGUGAUUUAUUGAUAUUUAAUGCUUAAUUUUGUGAGGGAAGUGAAUGAGUGUCUAGGACCCUUAUAUGUUGCAUGACAAGAAGAUCAUUAUUUGAUUAUUGUAGUUGCAGAUAAGUCUCUUGUUGACUCUCAAUGACGGGUUGACACCAAGUUUAAUGUAGUUGAGCUUCUUGAAACUACAUGGUCUAAGCAUUCAAGUGAGGAUGUAAUACUACUAGAUGAGGAUCUAAUCAAAACAUGUUAUGUGGAUAGUAUAACAUAUACGUUUAAUAUUAAGUUAGACUUAAAUUUUAUUAAGUGAUUCUGCAUGUAGUUUUCUUAUGAGAAGUCACUAUUAAUAACAAGGUUGCUAGCUUGAUUAUAGACAAUAGUAGCUGCGAUAACAUAGUUUUCCUUGGAGACAGUGAAGAAGCUUCAAUUAACGAUUGAAAAUUAUUCUAUGCCAUAUAAGUUGACAUGGUUGAAUGGAGAUACAAAGGUAAUCAUUAACAAACACUAUUUUUUUUUUUAUGGGAUAAAAAUAUUUUAAUGAUGCUUCGUGUGAUAUGAUGUCUAUAGAUACAUGUUAUUAUUGUAAAAUAUAGAAGUUGUGGUCAUAUAUUUUAGAUGUAUUUAGUUGUUAAAAAAAAAAAACUAAUGCUACGUGUAGUUUUAAAAAAAGAGCUUUGUGAGCUGAGUUAGUAGAAUAUUUAUGUUUGUAUUGUGUACAUGCGUAGCAGUGUAGGAGCAUGACUGAAUUGAUCGUUUAAAAUGCUAUACUUCAGGGUUUUUUUUUAUGAAAUAAAAUUCAAGUAUCGUUUAGUGAAAUGAUGGGGAAGCAUUGACUAAAUUGUUAAAGGAAAAAGAUUUAGAAAUAUUAUGAAACUUAGGGGAUAUUAUUAAAAAAAUUUAGAUAGGAACACAUAACCCGAAAUUUAUUAUUAAAAUGUUUUUAAAAAUGCAUUCCAACCAUAAAAACAAAUACUACCGCAAGGAGUGAAGUAAGUAUGAACAUACUAAGGUCACAUUUGUUUUUUGAUUUUAAAAAUGCUUUUGAAAAAAGUUAAAUUUAUUUUAUUUUUUCUUUUACUUCAAAUUAAUAUUUUUUUUUAUGUUUUCAAAUCGUUUUGACAUGUUAAUAUCAAAAUAAUUUUUUAAAAAUAAAAAAUAUUAUCUUAAUAUAUUUUCAAAUAUAAAAUAUUUUAAAACAUAAUCGUUAAUAUAUUUUUAAACACUUAAAAAAAAGAUAGGAGGUGGUAGUUGAGUUAGAUGAAGACCGAGAUGGGCACAAUGGUAGUAUUGACAUAAGUAACAAUGAUAAGAAAAAUUAAAAUAGUUGGGUGAUAACAAUAAUACAUGUUUUUAUUUUUAUUUUAUUUUAAAAGGGAUUAAACCAUAGUUAUCAAACUCAGUUUGGGGGUUGACCCGGCUAAGGUGUCAAGUCCUGGAUUACACGAGUUGACCUGAAUCAAUCCGAAAAAAUCUAAAAACAAUAUUUGAGGUUUUAAUAUUUUAUAUGAAAAAAUUAAUAAUCAAUCCAUAUGAAUAUAGACUAUACACAUUGUAAAUAAUGAAGUUUAAAAUAAUAUUUCAAAAUGUUUUUUAUCUCACAUUGAAAAGAUACUUUCUUGUUCUUUUAAGUUGAAGUAUUUAAAUAAUUUUUUUUAUUCCACAUUGAAAAAACAUAAUUUUGUUUUUGCGAACAUAGAGUAUAUAUACUAAAAGACUUCAAAUUUCACAUUGAAAAAAUAAAACAUUAUCUUAGUAUUUAUAUAGUGAACUUUGAAAUGAAUUAGUAACUAUUUGAAAAAUAUAAAAAAAAAUGGAUCUCUAACUAGAAAAAAAAAUAUAUUUAAAAAAAAACAGGUUUUUAUUGUGUAUUUUCGGAUCAACUUGGAUCGAUCUAUUUUCUCUAGACCAAUUACAAGCCCGGUUUUCAAUAUACUAACUCACUUAAUCAAUAGCCCAAAACUUGAUCUAGGUCAUGAACCGGUGCUCUGUUUUAGUAACUUUUUUGUAAUAUGUCUAAUUUCUCGGUCGACUAAAAGAAUGCAUUAAUUAAAUUUGGAUUGGAUCACGUCGCCAACAGGCAAGAAACCCAAUGAAAGCCUAACCACCUAUAAAUGUAAUUGGGCCUACAGAACCUUUUGUCAUUUGCUGAUGGGCCUAGUGUCUGAACUUCUUUUGUUACUCUCGAUUAAGCUCAGUGAAAAGGAUAAAAAUUUUGCGAAUUUGCCUCUCCUGUCCGUCGGCAAUUCGCAAAACAAAUUAAUAAUUGGGAAUUUUAGCAUUCCAAAAACAAAGAAGAAGCAGAUAAGGUUUAUCAGGUAAAAUAUAAAGAUACAACCGAAAGUUUUUUAGUUUGAAACUUAUAUGAAUUUAUAUUUAAUUUUCAUAAAAUAAAAUUAGAAUAAAAAGAUUUAAACUUGUGAUCAUUCGGUUAUUAGAUUUUUUAUACUAUAUUAAAGAAUUAUAAUUAUUUUAAUCUAAAAUUUUAAAUUAUUAAAUAAAAUUUUAAGAUAUAAUUUAUAAAAAUAAAUAAUCUUGUAAUUCAGGUUGUAAUUCAGGUUGCUGUCCAAGAGAGCCCACGUGAUAAACCCACGACGUGCAGCUUCUUAAACCAUAGGGAGAGGCGACGCAACCACUGGCAGAUUCAUUAACACAAAUCGACAAAUCAUCGAGAAAGAACAAAACAAAACAACCUUGGAAAAUGAAAGGAAACCUAACAAAGAGUUGAUUGAGGAUCAUAUAAUGGCUAAAUCUUCGUGUGAUAGUGAAAUGACUUCCAUUCCUCGUGGAAUGAUGGUCUUUCUCAUAUAUUAUCAUUAAAUUUUGGCUUUUGGCCUUUUCCUUUUUGUGUUUAAUUCGAGAAAUCUAACCCAUAUAUAUAUAUAUAUAUAUAUAUAUAUAUAUAUAUAUAUAUAUAUAUUGCAGUUACUCAUGGACAGCAUCGUGUUAGCACAUAAUUUUUGUUAGAGAACUUGGAAGAGAGAAUAUUAAGUUCUCACAGCCUGUAAUCAGCCUUGUGUUACACAAGGUGUUUUGUAGCCCGCAGCCUAUAGCCCCAAGAUUUUUUUUGGUUGGCAGAGAUAUUCGAACUGCUGAUAUCCAUUAGAUUAGAUGAGGUUUUAAUUAUGUUAAUACAUGCCAGUGAAAAAUAUUACAGAAUUGAUGAAACGAAUAUCUAACUUAAUCAUCUUGUCAACCACAAGGAUUAAUUCAAAUAUAGCUAUUUUGAGAAGAAUAAAUAAUUAUACAGGAAUCUAAAAUUGUUUAGCACAUUAUUAUUUUUGUGUUUAGUUGCGCAUUUAAUUAUUUUUUUAUCCACCAAUUUAAUUGAAGAAAUCAGAUGAAGUGAACUUUGUACUUGAAUUGUUUCUACGCAACCCCACACGGUAACGUUUUGUAAAGAAAUUUUAUAUAUCCAAUUAGUAGCAACAGUUCAAGGCUUGUGUCACUACCGCAGGCUCAUCAAAGCAGAAAACAGUAACAUUUGCUUGGCCAUCCGAAUAAUGUGGUGUUAUUUAAGACAAAUACUUGAUAAUUAAUGAGCCAAAAUAAAGCAAUACUUUAGUUUUCUUGAAAAAUCGGAAUCAGAAAGAAAACAUUGAAAUUUCUUGUUCAAAUACAAUGUUUUUUUUUAUCUUGAAAACUAAUAAAUUAGUUUUUCAGUUUUUUUAAAUUUGAACUGAGUUUGAAGAACACAUUUUAGAAGUUCUCUCCAAUUUUUUCAAUACAAGUUUUUUAUUGUUUUUUAAAUGGAAAACAAAUAUAAACAAUACAAUCUUUUAUAUAUAUAAAAUUAUUUUUAAAAAAUGUAAAGGAAUAAAAUUAUUUAGGACAAAUACUUGAUAAUUAAUGAGUGAAAAUAAAUUCGAAAACCGUGUUUCUUAUAAGUUUUACAUUUGCAAUAUCAUCAAUUAUUGAUCUAAUACGUCACAUGUAACUUUCUCCUUCAAGAUUGUUAUGUCACUCCUUUUAUGGCAAUCAUCUUAUUAAAAUAUCUCUAUCGUUUGUAUGCAUCUCGAAGAAGACUUGUGUUCGUUUCCAUCUGACCACUAGUUUCAACAAAAAGGACAUGACGUUCGCCGAUUAAUUAUUGGGCUUUUAGAAUAGGAUUUGUGUUUCCUUUUCCAUUAAUUUUCUUCCACUUUUGUUAGAAUAAGAUAACAUGAAUACAUUAGGUCUCGAGUUGCCCCAGUGGCUGGCAAAGAGAAGGAAAAAAAACAAAACAAUUAAUAUUGAUUAGCAAUGUUCAAUGAAUAAUUAGCUAAGAACAUAUAUGCUAGACUUGACACCUACAAGUGAUGUUGCUAGAGUACAUAGGAGGCCUCUACAGGGACGUAAACUGAAUUAUCAGCAGAUCAUUUUCUUGUUUACUGGUUAAAUAAAUUAUCAAAUAGAUGGAAGAUGCGCCUCUGUUAUGAUAUAUACAAAUCUCUACUGAAUAUCAUGUAUAUUAUUGAAGAAAUAUUUAAUAUAAUUAUUUUUUUUAUAAAAAAUACAGUACCAACCAACUCAUGCAGGCUUUAAUAUUUGUAUAGAUUAGGGUAUGAAUAAAAAAGGAAGAAGAGGCCAGCCUCUUAGCUGGAAAAGAAGGUGAUCAGCACUAGUGUUGGGAAACUGAAUAAUUAGAAAAGAAGGGGUCCUACGCCUGCAAACAAUAUCGAAGAUAUGCAUGGGACCAAUCAAGAAAGGCUAAAGAAACUACUAACAACCAAUUUAUAACGGGAAAUAGGAGAAAAGGGAAACGGGGCAGCCUCCCAAACGACAAAACAGCCUUUGUUUGCCUCAGUUUUCAUUCCAUUUGUGCUCUGGUGAGAUCCAGAAAGUAUCACUUUCCUAGAAAGUCACGGGGAAGCUCACAGGAGGCCCUGCGCGCGGUUCCCUGUUGUAUUGGUACUCGUAGGGUCCAAAAUAUGUCACCGGGAAGCAUCCUAUGUUAACACUUUGUUUUCAUGAUGAGGCCUCGUGUUUCUCUUAUAUAUAUAUAUAUUGUGAUUAAGAUUGUUGCCUAUAAAUACUUUCAAAAAUAAAAUAAAAUAAAAAUAGUCAUGUCUUCCUUAUCCUGGAAAUCUGCAAUAUCUUCGUGGUGGGGACUCGUUGAAUGGCUAUGAAUGCUUAUUUCUACUAUAUUUUAUCUUAUUUUCGGACUUAUAGUUUUCUGAUAAAUUUUAUCUUGAAAAAAAAUAUAUCUUGAAAAGACAGGUGACAUGUAAAACUUACAGGUUAUCUAAAAUCUCGACUCCUAGUUGAGAUGGGAUAUUGAUAUUAUGAACAUGUAAUCCGAGAAAAGUAAUAUUUAUACGUACUGAUAGUAAUAAAGUGAAUUAUAUUGAAGAAAAAACCAUAUGACAAGCUAUAUGAAUGAAUAAUUACUCCUGAGUCCCAACAUGGAGGGACCUAGGGUAAAAGUAGGAUUUACAAUGCGGGGAAGGUAGAGGGUUGUGGUCCUAUAAUAUUAUCUUGGGGUGUACACAUCGAUUUGUUCACAGAUAUCAGCUGGUAUAUCAUCAAACGCCCAAAGAGACUUACUAAGCCGUUGGAACAAUCCAGUGGUGCUCAAAGCUUCACGUACAGAGAUCAAGAACUUCGUUUUGUAUAUAUAUCCAACAUAUAUAUAUGCAUAUGGGAACGCAGAGCUAGGAUGAGGAAUAGAGUGGUCUCCAUUGAAGAAUUGAUGGCAUAUAUGCAUGCUAGCUGCUGCUGUCCUUUAUCAUGUAACUGUGAGUAGGUGCUUGACUCUUAUGGGCAAGCCCUUGGGAAAAUCGACAAAAGGAAAGGCAAAGGCUUGAUCGGUAUCAACCAGUUCCCAGUGGAAGUUGAGGACCAAAUGGUGGAUGAACACGGCCAUUUCUAGUUUUGCCAAUUCCGAUCCUGCACAAAGUCGCGGUCCUCCCCCAAAUGGCAUGAAGUAAUUACUACUCGUCGUCCCACUCGAACUUGUAGAAGCACCACGAGCAUUGUUAUGCUGUUGUCAUCAUCGCCAUUGAUAACAUAAAUAAACAAAAAAGCAAGGUAGCUAUAAUCAACAUACAAGCAUGAGAAAUAAUUUUGUCAUAAAUACCAAAAUAAAAUAAAAUAAAGGGCAAAUAUUCUCGUCUUCUUAAAGACCAGCACCAUUUCAAUUUAAGCGCUAAUUCAAAUACGUACUAAUUUCAUUUAAGUGUUAAAUCAUAUCUUAAUUACAUGACAAUUCUAAUUAAUUAAUAAUUUCCAAGAUUGAUGUUACUGACACAUCCUAACAGUUAAGAUUCGGAAUUUUAUACCAAUUUUUUGACAAGUGGAUAGAGAUUUGAGGACUAAUUAAUAACGUUUUUACUCAAACUAGAUAUUUAAUCUGUGACAGAUACCGACCCUAAAAAACAAGUAGGAUUUGACUGCCUCUACCUCCUUAUCUGACGAAUCAAAGGAGUCCAGAUUUACAGAAAAGAUAUAUAAUCAAGCUGGGAAAGAUUUAAUUUGAUUAAAUCUAAUAAUCUGAGAAAUCAACUCAUUAUUUAUUUAAUCUAAUUAUAACUUGAUUUAAUUUUAAAAAAUACAUUAAAAUAUAAAUAAAAUUAAUUUAAAUUAACCCAAUCAAUCCAAGUUAACUUACUUAAUUGUAAAUAAAACCAGGUUUAAUAACUUAUUCACAGUCGAGACGACGGAAGUAGCUUUCGAGAAAUCAAAACACAUUGAAUGGUAAAAUGGACAUAUACGUAGCAAAAGGACAAAACAGUAAAAGACAACGUCGAUGGCUCGAUGUCAAAAACUAGUCACGGACAAUUGUCAAUAAAUGUUCACAAAGUCACUUCUAUGUCGUUAAAAUGUUCAGUGCCCAAUUUAAACUUCCCUCGAUUGAGCAAUUAUUCAGUAGAGUUCUGGGAAAUACUACCUCCUCGAGUCCUUCAUAUUUAUAGUAUAAUAGCAUAAAUAUAUUUUAUAUUAAUAGACUGUCCAUUUUGUCUCUUACUCUACAUUCCUACUUAAUUAUUCCAUGAUUUAAUUUAGACUACGUCGUUUGGAUAAAAAUAGUUUCAUGAAAAAAGAUAAGAUGUGUGUGGAUUACAAGGAUUCCAGGAGUAAUGAAUCUGUUUGGUUUUGGGUAUGCUAUAAAAUUAAAUAUAAUAAUAGGUUAUAUAUAUACUGACGUGCUGGGCUAAAAUCAUCUGUAAAUUACUUGACAAUAUAUUAUCAUGGUGUUUUAACUAAAACCACAUUAAGGAUGUCUUUUAAAUUUAAGAAUUAUUUUAGAAAAUAAAUUCAUUAUUAAAAAAUGUAAAUUCUUUCAUUGAUAAAAUAAAAUUUUAAAAAACAAUAUAAGUAAAAAAACGAUACAAAGGUUCUUUUUACAUAUAUAAAAAUACCAAAAUAUUAUAUAAUUUAAUCAAGAUUCACGUGUACUGUAUAUUUUUUAUAAUAAGAUUUUUUUUAGAUCAUGGUUUUUUUAAGUGGAAUUAGAAUUCUUUAAUUGGUGGCCUUGAUUACAACAGCAUUAUAUGUGAAUGGAGACAGAGACAACAGUCUUUUGACAGUGUUUGGGUAAUUACCGGUGUUCUGGUCAGAUGAUGGAUGUUGCUUUAUAAAAUAUUUUUUUAUUUAAAAAUAAUAUUUUUUUAUUAUAUUAAAAAUUUAUUUUUUAUAUUAGUAUAUUAAAAUAAUUAAAAAAUAUAAAAAAUUAUUUUAAAGAAUUUGAUUUUUUAAAAAUAACAAAACGAUGACUCAACUGCUGAUCUCUUAAUAUUUUUUUUUAGUAACACGGUGUAAAGUGUUUUUAUAAUUAAAAUUAAUAUUUUUUAAAAUUUAUUUUAUUUUUUAUAUUAAUAAAUUAAAAUAAUUAAAAAAAAUAACUUUGAUAGUAUGAAGAAGAAGAAAACAUUUAUAAAAGCAUUUUUAAAACAGAAGCAACUUUCGACUAAAGAACAAUCACUCCCUGAAAGCAACGAGAUUUUAAAAAAUAAAAAAUAAAAAAGCAUGCAAAGGCAAUCAGUGAUGCACGUGCACAUGAGAGGCCCACAUCCACAUGCGGCUUUAAAGGCAGAGUGAGACCCAUUGUCCUAACAAGCAAAACAUCUUGUUUAAUGAUGGUGACAGUUCAUCAGUAGGGUGGUCUCGUGGGGGUUUGACUACGCUCCUUCCUUCUUUUGCUUUCAACGGUUUUGUUGGAAUGUUUUCAUUGGUUCACAUCAUCAUUCAGUGCUUUAUCUACCUAUACAAUCUUAUCUCCAUUUCCCUAUUUUUUUUCUUUAUUUUAUUUUAUUUUAUUUUAUUGUUAUGGGUUGGGUCCAUAUUUAUUUUCAGUGGCUCCCUAAAUUGAUUCUUGGGAUUUUAUUUUUAGAAAAUAAAUUGCUUUUUCAUACUUGUCUGUCCAAUAUAAAAGUAAUAUGAAAGAGGUUUACUGACUUUCAUAUGUAUGGUGUUUAAAAAUAAAAAAUAUAUUCAGCAUGACAUAAUUUUUUUUAUAAUACACUUAACAUAGUUUUUUUCCUCUCAAAAACUUUGAGCCCUUUAAAAAAAAAAUAUUUGCGAUAAAAACUAUAUGUGCACGCAUAUCAUAGUCCAUUUCUUAUUUAUCGAUAGUGGGUCUUUUUUUAAAUAACCCCUCAGUAAAAUAAUAAUAAUUCCCCCUCAAUAAUUUCAAAAGGUUUGCGGUUUUUAACUUUGACCUACUUUAUCUUAACCGAUCUUAUUGAUCUAAAAUUUAAAAAAUUAGUUUCUUAAAAAAUCUGUAGUUAAUUAACAUUUUCCAUAGCUUUUGUUGCUAUUUUUUAAACUAAUUUAAAUUAAAGAAAAAACUAUUCAAGAUCAUGUUAAAGAAGCCAGGAACAAACAAUUAUGAUAGGAAAUGUUGCUAGUGGACCCUUGUGGAAGAAGACCAAAUUGAAAAAUCUACGGAACCUUAUAAUUACUGUGACAGAAUUAUACGGCGUGAUUAUAAUAAUGUCUUAGAAAAUAAAAAAGCAUGUCUGUCAUGGCUUCAAAGCUGUACUACUGACCUGCCAUCUCCAUGGAUUGAAGUGUUGAGGUUGGUCGAAAAGAGUUGAAUCUAAAUGGACGGCUGAGAUCACUGGUAGCACUUUCCAUCCACAUGGAAUGUCGUACCCUUUAAAAGAAAAAAACAGUAUUAUUAAUUACUACUUAAGUAAUUAGAUAGAGUUGAUUAAACUAAUUAAUAUAGUGAUAUGCCUAAGGUGAGAGGAAUCUAAUACAACUAGGUUUAUCUUACCUUUGUACCGAACAUCUUUUAGAGCUUUUCUGUGAAGAAACCUGACUACGUUUCCAAGCCUCAGUGUCUCGCUUAUAACCUUCACAAGGUUGUAAAAAAGCAUGUAUAUUGAAUUUAUUCGUGUUAAAAUAAAGAAAAAUUCGAAAUAUUUCUGAUAGUAAAAGAGAAGUUAAUUAAAAGGAGCUUACGCAUUGGGUGAAUUCCAUUUUUUUGUAAUCAUCCCAGUUCAAUUCCGUCUCUCCUGACCGUUUCUUGGCUCUGGAGAUUUGAAUAUGUUCUUCCUAUAUUCAAUGAGAAUAAAUAUAUAAAUCCAAAGCAUCUACUGUGUAUAAUAAAUGCUGCGAGGUACUGAUAGAGUAGGAAGUACAGAUUAUACUGUGAGGUACUUUUUAGUUGCUUACUUUUAACUGUUGAAUAGCACCAGGACAAGCUUGCAAGAAGUAGAUGGCUAGAGCUAUGGACACAGAAGAAGUUUCGUGGCCAGCAAAGAGCAAGCUUAAGAUUAAGUCAAGGAUUUGCUCCGUAGAAAGAUUUGAAUGCUUCAAGACCCAUCCAAGAAGAUCAUCGUCUUCCAAGUUUUCUACUCCACCCUUCGUUUCAGCAAUUCUCUCCUCCAUCUUUCGCUCUAUAAAUUUCAAGAUGAUUGAUCGAGACUGCAUGUUAUAAACAGGACACCCAAAGAUGAGAUGAAGAUACGAUAAUAUCAUGACCUUUUUCUUGAAUCGUUACCUUUUAUGGUUAAUUAAAGUAAGAUUACCUUCAAGGCUUUUCUAUAUGGGGUUCCAGGCAAAUUUAUAGGAGCUGAAACUACUCCUUUCAUGAAAGUAACAUACUCUUUUUUCAGCUGCUCAGUCUCUGGCUUUCCAGGAUCCAAGCUCAUGAUAUGUUUUGCCAUCAAAUUGAAGGUAAACUGCAAUUUCCUUCAUAUGCUAAGUAUUCCUCUCGAAUAUAGAAUUCAGUAUUGAAAUUCAUUUUCUUGGCAUUGCAAGUUUGAAGAAUUACCUUCUUUGCUUCAUCUUGAGCUGAAAAUGUACAAUUCUCCUUCCAAGAGCUAAGAACAAGCAGGGUUUGCUUCUCCACUUCUUUCAAUAGAUGAGUUCUUAACCUGGCAUGGCUCAAAAAGUUAAGAGAUAUAAUCCUCAUGUCUCUAUGCAUGUCUCCAACAAGAACCAACAUGGACCAUUUUCCAAGAAUUCCACCAAUACUUUUUGGAUAGCUGCAUUCAAAUAAUCUUCCCUCAUUCUGUAGUAUAAAUCUGUUAAGUCCAGCAUCUGCGGAUACUAUUGUUGGCUCCCCAAACAAAUUGGACUUGUAAAUCUUUCCAUACCUGCAUAUUAUAAUCAAGUUUUAAGUGGUAUGAUUAACAAGAUUUCAUUUCUUGGUUCUGGCUGUCAAUCUUGUUUUCUCGGCAGUCUUAGUCUUACCUUGAUAUGUGCUGUUCCAUGAAUUCUCCUAUUGAAGUAGCAGAGUAAGGCUUCAGGUAGCCAAUGGUUUCUCCAAGAAAUGGCCACCCCAUGUUGCCUGGUGGGAGAUUAAAUCUUACUUGCUUUCUUUGCACGAGAAUGAAGAGCAAGAGUAGUGAUAAAAUCGAUGGAAGGAGAAAGACAACAAGCUCUGAGUGAGACAUGGAGCUUGACUGACUCUAUGUCUAUCUCUCUCUCACUCACUCUGACUCUCUCCCUCCUCCCCUUUCUCUCCCUGUUGAAUUUGCUUAGCUGUUCUAAGCAAAGUGAAAUCAGAUAGUAUAUACUUUUGAGGACUUCACCAAUAUUGUAAGGGCCGUGGAAGUUUAAUGUUCUAGAAAUCGUUUUGAUGGAGCUGCUUGUAAUGAAAACAUGGAAGCCAAGCCUCCUUUUAUAAUGUUAUUUUAUGCUAAAAAAGAAAAAAGAAAAAUGGUCAUGAUGUUGUAUUUCCAUGCAUUUUAUCUUAGAUUUAUUUUACUACACUAGUUUCCUUGUCAUUUGCGUUUUCCAAUUAUAUAAUUAAUAUUUUGUCUCAAUUUGUACUUAUUUUCCGACCUUUUCAAACCCAUAAAAUUAAUUUUAAUUUCAUUAAAAUAUUUCACAGUAUUUUAUAACCAUGGUUAGAAAUUAAAAAGAUGCUCUUCACAUCAUGAUGAUAAGAAAAAAAAACAUAUCAAUUCUGAUAGAUAACUUAAUUAAUCAGAUCCUGAGUUUGUUUUCCAUAAAUCAUCAAUUCGUGUGCUAUAAAUCUUAAGACUACUGGAAGUUUACAUGGUCAUUAACUUCAGGGUCUCAAAAGAUUAAUCAAGAUAUACAUAAACUGACCCGAACACCCACAAUUAAAAAAAACAUAUCAUGUCUCUUUCCUUCGCAAACAAAAAAGAAGAAAACAGGAAAGAAAAAAGCUUUAUUUUUUUAUUGUAAUGCAUGGUAUCAUUUGUUUUAAUUCAAAAUAUUAAAAAGUAUUUUGUUGUUUUCGUUUUAGAAUAAAGUUAGUUUAAGAAACAAAAUAAAAAUUGAACAACCAGAAAAGGUUAGAGCUGGAUGGGAUAUAAACCCACACUUAGCUAGGAAGAAGUUUGUUUUCUUUUCCCCAGCAGAGUAUUCCUUGUACUUUUCUUUUGAACAACGUAAUCUCUGUACUGCAAUAUCAACGUUAUCCCCUUUGAACAUUAUUUUGUUGUUUUUUUAAAAAAACUACUGAGUACUGACUUGCUUUACUUUGACUCGUAGAUGCUCUCGUGUAUAAUGCUGUCCCUUGUUAUUAUUUUGUGCUUGUUUUACCCAAAAUUAUUAUAUUCUCCACAGCCAGUCCUGGUCGUGGGUUAAAGAAAUUUAACUCAGUUUUUUACCGAGUUGAGUUGUAAAUUUAUUGAAGUUUGAUCAAAUCAAUUUUUACUUAAUUAAUUUAGAUCUAAGAUUAAUUUAUCAAAUCCGAUGAAAUUUAAUACCUAAAAGGCAUUUUAUAUAUAUAUACAGAAACAAGUGUCAUUAAUUUUAGAUUUUAAAUAAAAGGCUGAAAGAGCACGCAUACCUGAGUAGAUGAACUUAUUCUACCCAUGCCUUGUUUUAGCAUUUUUUCACCUAAUCAGCUGUGCUGCACAAGAGAGAAUGGCAUAUUUUUGUUUACUUAUGUUAUGGUUAUGUUUUUUAAAUUCUUAUAUCUGUUAAGCAACUAUCUCAACCCAAUAACUUAAGUGAGAUCUCAUGAUAUUAUUCUCUUCCAUGAUAUAAUUUAUAUUAUUCUCUAUUAAUUUCUUAAUUAAUAAACGAAGCAUUUUGAAAGGUAUCAUGUAAAAUAUAUAUUUUAAUCUGAAAAGUUAAGUUGUUUGAUGAAAUUAAAAAAAUAUUAUUUUAUUAACUUUAUAGCAUAUUAAAGGCAUUUUCCUUCACCCAAAACAGGCCUGAAAUUGCUUUCAUUCUUUAAAGAAAUAGUAAGCAACUGAAAAAAAGGAAAAGAAUUAACCAGGCCUCAAUUUGAGUUUUGUACCUUGACUUUGCUGCUGGGAAGAACACAUCAAAUCUUGCUAAAUCACAACAUUUACAUACUUAUAAUGUAAUGUUUUUUUUUUUUUUUUGCGAUUUGAUGUGUUCUUCCAGUGCACAAAGAUGAUAAUGUUGCCGCACACUAAUUUCUUCGAGUUUCAUUUAAGAAUAGUGAAUUAAUUCUGAUCGUUGGUAUGUAGUGUUACUUCAAUUAAACAAGAAAUUAAACGAUCAUUAAUGUGGUAUUAUUUAGAAUUCUUUCUUUCUUCUUCAUUUUAAAAUUUUGGAAAACAAAAAUAGAAAAGUUAAUCGCAACUAUCAUUAGAAAUUUAAAAAAUUAUAAUUUUUUGAUGUUAUUAAAUUUUAUUUCAUAGUUCUUAUCCUGAAUAUAUUCAAACUAAAACAAAACAUCAAAUUUAAAGAAGAACUGUAUCAUUUAACUCAAGUAUAUAAAAAUUAAAAAUAUUUUUUUAAUAUUUUUUAGUGUUUUUAUAUUAUUUUAAUAUACUGAUAUAAAAAAUAAAUACUUUAAAAAACAAUUGAUAUUAUACUUUCAAACACUUCUUGAUCAAAAUUUUAAAGGGAAAAAAAUUGAAACCUCACCAGAUAAAUUAAGAUUAACUCAAAAUCUUGUAGUCCGAACCACUUGCAACCCCAAAAGAUUGGUGGCAAAUGAGGAUAGAAUCCCAUCCAUUUUAAAUCUUAAAUCUUUUGGAUGAAACAAUAAAACCAAAACUUAACUAUCAAGCAUGGAUUCUUCAGAAUUCUUGAAAAUGCAGUAAGAAAUUUGCGCGCAAUGAGAUGACAUGUCUGAAUCGACACAAGAAAAUAAUUAAAGAAUCCGUAAAACAGGAUUGAAAUUUAGCAAGGGAAUCGUAAAAUCUGUCAAUCUCGAAAAAUGACGUUUAUGUCGGAUCUGCAGGCGGUGGCAGAGUUGUAAGGAUGAAGGUCGCUAUAGCAGUCAUCUGCGAAGGAAUACAGAAGCAGAGAUACCAUUCCAUGCAAUGCACAUUAACUUUUGUUCAUGGGACAAACACAUGCUUUCAACUAAUUGUCUGAUGAUUAUGACCAUUAGCUGAUAAUCAUCUCCAUUAUUGAUCACCAUUUUCAUUUGAGCUGUUCCAAUCAUGGCGAGAUUUAGACUUCAAUCCAUGGCCCCACUAGUUGAGGAGCACACUUGAUUGGAAUUUCAUGCUUUAUUUUGAAAUAAAAACUACAGCUAGAUGUGGGUUAUAUUGCCAUCAGCCUCCAAUCAGAAUGACUUUUAAAAUAAUUAUAUAAUUUUUAUUACAAAAGGUUAUGUUUCCUAAAAGAAUUUCGCAAAUUUCUAGUUUUUCACAUGGUCUUGUAAUGGAGGGUAUUUUUUUUAAAAAAAUAAUAUUAACACAUCAAAAUUAAAAAAAAACUAAAAAAAUAUUAAUUUAAUAUUUUUCAAAUCAAAUUAACUUUUAAAAUAUACCCAAAUAUAAUUUUAUAUGCAAAAAUAUACCGUGCUAGCUAUAAUAAUAGACUAACUAGAAAAUAAAAUUGAAAUAUCUAUAUAAGAAUCCAUCCUUUGUUCAUUAAUUGAUUGUUGACUACUUGUUGGACUUACCUGUUAGAGAAAUCUGAAUUGAAGAUUCUCUUAAACUAUACAUAGUAUUGUAUAUUAAUUUGACAUUAUUUUUUAUUUAAAAACCUAGAGUUAUGGACCCAUUUUUAUAUAUAAAUCUCAAUCACUUUUAUUAAUUCCUUGUCAAUAUGACUAUAUGAGAUUUUUUUUAACAAUUUCCAUGUAGUUAUUUAUAAUAUUUUACUAAAUAAUCACUUUAUAAAAAUACAAAAGAGAGAAAAAAGAAAAACAAGAGAGAAAACUAAACAGUUACUGCAAUUUCCAAAUGGGUACUGCCAGAUUAAAAUGAUUGGAAAAAUCCUAUUAAUAUUUUAUUUCUUUUUUCAUUUUUUUUUUGUCCUGGUACGUGCCAUGAUCAUGUUUCCAUUACAAAUCCACGUGCAUUCAUUAUUGCUCUUCACGUGAAGGACCGUUUCCAACUUUACAUGUAGCCUUUUCUUUUUAGAAGGUCACGCAAAACUGGACCCACUGAGUGUGUAUGCGCGCGAGUACAUCCACUUUUCUUCUAAUGGGAUCACAAAAACCGUUUCCAUUGAAAUAACAUUUUUUUUUAAAUAAAUAAAUAAAAGUGAUAACAACAUAAAAUAAUAAAUUAUUUAUCAUCUAAAUCAAAUAAUUAAAAUUCAUUGAUAUUUAUUAAUAGAUUCAAAAUAUAUAACAUAUGUAAACACCUGAUUCAUAAUAUAAAAUACGAGAUCAAACUUGUGAGACACAUAAAUUUAAAAACUUAGUGAGUUAUAAAGCUCUUUUAGACAUAUAGGAUCCAAGCAUAGAUCACAUCCUUCUAACCUCGAGCCCAUCAUGUGAUGUAUUUUGUUAAAGUAAUUCAAAUUAACACAAAAAAAGUACAAACAUAAGAGAGAAGGAGACUAUAGUUCUUAUUAAUCUGUUUAUUCUAAAAUAUUUGUUUUAACCUAAAUACAAAGAUAUUAUAUAUAGGCUAAAUUAAAAAUAUUAUUCUACUCUUAAUAAAUAAAACAAGAUAAAUGUAUUUCUUAAUAUAUUUCUCUAUUGGAUUCGGGUCAUUUAGCUCACUUUUUAGAAGUCAUGUUAACUCAAUAGGCUCAUAACAUUGGUCUAAAAAAUAGGCCGAGAACAUUCGUAAAACCCCAUCAGACAAUAUCUAUGGAUAGAAAUACUUGUUAAGACCGCACACCUGUCAGCAACAAACUAACACCAAUCAUUUUAGCUUUUCUUGACACCAGCAUAGUAAAAAAUUGGCAAAAUAUCACAAUCUAUAAAAUAUUUAAGGAAAUAACAUAGUUUUCAUAAGUCAUAAGCCUUAUCUGCUACUUGUGAAUUACUUGUGAGAACAAAAAAAAGUAGUCAGGUAGUUUUUUCUAGACUUUCAACUCUCCACCAUAAAAAAACUAACACAACAUAUACAUCACAGUUCAAAAACACAAGCCUCAAUUAAUCUCUUCAACACAAUUAAAAAAUUGACACAUGUCACAAUUCAUUAAAUAUAACAAUUAACAAUCCAUAAUCAAACAAAAUAAAAAUUAACAUAAUAUUUUAUUAAAUUUAAACUAAAUUCAUAAUUCUUAAAACAUUAAAACAUAUAAUGUAAAUACAUCUAAAAAUCACUUCAACUCGUGGAAGGGCUUAAAGCGCUCGUGGGUGGGUCUGCACCACCCUAACUUAUCCAACUCGAGGACAGACAUGUAGCACUCGUGUAGGGGUCAGCACCAAAAUCAUCUCAGCUCGUAAACGGGUCUGGAAUGCUUGUGGAUGGACCUAACUCCCUAACUGCAUGUCCCUGUUCAUGAUAAACGAUCUUGUCUUCCGCUAAGGUUUCUUUGUGAUGCUCAACCUCUUUAACUUCCUUAAGUCUAGCACGACAUAAAUUGAGCGAAUUGUUGGUCAGGGCAUAUGCCAUCUUAUUGAUACUUUCGUGGAUAAUAGAUGCUUUUGUUCGAGCCUCCCAUGAUAAAAAAUGAAUCUAAAAAAUAAAAAAUAAUAAUAAGCACUCAUAAUCUAUAAUAAAAGUAACCAUCAUAUAAUAAAUGUUAUAUAUACAAAUGUCUCAUUUCUUCAUCGCUCAACCAACACCACAAUCAAUACGUGGUCAAAAUAUAUGCCAUACAACUGACUGAUCUUAUAAAAACCAACGUCAAUAAUGAAUGAGUGAACACUCUCAUGAAACUCCAUAACGACAUCCUAAUGAGAUUUUAUAUGAUCACCACCUUGAAUGUUCAAGUAAUUUAUUCAUAAUUUUUUAAAUAAUUAAAUUUGUUUGAAAAUUAGUUUUUUUAUUUAAUCCAAGUCUAGUCAACUGACCUCUCUGUCCUAAAUAUUUGGAAAAAUGUUAGUCCUACAUGUAUAAAACUGAUAUGUCAUCUCGAUCUAAAUGCACAACCAAGUUGUCACGUUGGUCCACAUUAUUAAAAGCAUGUGAACCUCUUUUAGUUCGAUUAUCUCUGCCUCAAGAUCAUGUAAAGACAUAUUGUUAGCAUUGCUAUAUAAUUAAAUAAAAAAAUGUAACAUAUAAUAAUUUAUGUUAAUAAUUUGAAACAAAUACAAUUAUUAAUAUGUAUUGUCUAUUUUGACCGCAUAUACCAUAUUUAUUUUAUAAGUGUCUAUAUAUAUAUAUGGACACUUAUAAAUAUAUAUACCAUCUUGUUAUGCAAACAAGCUGCUCUCCUCUAACACUUAUUCGUUCUCAUCUAUCCGAACAUCCAUAUAUAUUUAGAGUAGUAGAUACAAACCAUAAUGGCAUGUCACAUAAGGGUCGGGAAUAAGAAGUAUAUAUAUUUUUGUAAGAUUCAUUGGUGAAGAAAAUAUCAAUAAAUUGCACGUGAUUAACAUUUCAUAAAGUACAACAUGUGAUAAGAACAUGGUUGAUAUAAUUGUCAUUUACCAUAAAUACAAAUUGCUUCAUUAAUGCUAACUGUUUCCUAGACUUCUCUUGAAACACCAGCUAUUAAGGGUGUUUUAGCUUGAACUAACCCCCUUUUAAGAUCAAAUAUACUUGCAACAUGUGUUCUAGAUUUUGUUAAAUUAACAAGUAAUUUAGUUAGGAUAACUAAAUGCCAUAACACACCACCUAAAAAAUUCUCCAAUGGUAGCUCUUCGAUUAACAAAAUAUUUAUUACAUCUAUAAAAUAUAAUAUGUACUAUAACGAUUAGAGCCAAGUCAUAAACAUUAUUCAAUACAUAAUUAAAAACUUUUGAUAAAUUGGUCAUCAUGUUGCCAUAACAAUAACCACCACCAUAUUCAUAUGAAAAUGCUCAUUUCACUUUAAGUUCAAUUUCUAACCAUUCUCUGAUCACAUCAUCUGUCUUAACCAGAUCAUUAUACAAUUUAUAAAGUUCAUGUUUUAAAGUAUUUAUACUCAUCUUAUGUAAUAUAUUUUUCAAGGCGUUAUUUUUUUAACCUAGUGUUGAAAUAACAGAUAAAAUGGCGCGAAUAAUAUUGAUGAUAUCUAACAUGCUCAAAAAAUAUUUGUGUUAUGGAAUUUUGAAUCACCACAUGUCUAUAUAAUAUAAUACAUAACCUAGUGCGAUCGUUAAUUACAUACUAACGAAGCAAGUCUAAAAACCAUCUUCAAUUAUUAUUCAUUUCUUCUUCAACAAUAGCAAAAUACAAUGAAUAAAUCUAAUUAUUUAUGUUAUAAGCACUUGCAAUUAACAACUAUACCUUUUACUUACCAUAUAAGUGAGUGCUUUCAAUACUAAUCACAUGGUAAUAAUAUUUAAAUUCAUCAAUUAAAGCAUCAAAUACCUAAAAUGCUCUUCUAAAUAAUUAUCAUCAACCAUUUUAUUAUCUCAAUCGAUAAUCUUUCCUGAAUUUGAAUCUUUGAUAUCUAAUAGCAUUCUAGGCAAGAUCUAAAAGAACUCUUUGUGUGUACCAAACAACCUCUCUAGUAUUUUCUGCUUAGCCACUCAUGCCUUCUAAUAUAAGACAUCAUGAUCAUAAUCCUAAAUUACAGUAGCUUGAAUGUUUACAACACUUAUACUUAUAUCAAGUUUCAUAAUUUUCAACAUCGCCUCAGCAAUGAGAUCUGAUUCAAACUAAUGAUGGCAUUGCAAAACAAGUGGGUUUUGACAAGUGUGCAGCCUUUUAGAUUUUGAUGUCUCAAAUGAAUUAAAUCUUUGGUGAUACCCCCGUGUAAAUGCCAUUUAUAUGCCAUUUAUACACCAGUUGCAAAUAAGUUUUAGUUGAAUGCUGGACCGUGUACUAGUGGACUGUGUACUACAAUGAAUUCUUGAUAUGCCACCAUUUAAUUGUAGUGAUACAAUGAGACUUGUUUUUGAAUUUUUGUCCAACCUCCAAUUCAUCACUCGAUAAGCCUAAAUGCCUACAAAUCAAAGGGCAACCAUUACAUACAUGUUGGCAUACACACUCACAUGCUAAAAUUUAAAAGCGGGAGGUGUCGUGUGUUGGUUUAGAGACUCAACUAACUCAUCUUCCUCAACUCUAUCAAUAUGAUGAUCAUCUUUAUUGUCACUUGGUUGGAUUCUCCAUAAUAGUAUGGAGAAAAUUUCGUAUCCAACCAAGCUUUCAUAAUAAUAAUUUAUUGUGCUGACAUUUGGUUCCUUUCAUUAUCAUCUAAACUAGAAGAAUCGACAACCUGUAAUGCCUAUGUGGUCUUUUGAGAGUUAUUUGACACCUAAGUGAACUCCAUACUAGAGAAUCUUUCUAGUCCAAAUCUACUAUUCAAGUAUAGUUUUAGAAUAUUCAUCCCAUUAACGUUGGCAAACACAAAUAUUUAAUUACACUUCCACCAUUACAAAUGAGUAGAACAACAUAACAAAUUAGACUAGCCUCAUUUUGCAUAAUCUUUCAUGUGACGGAUGGUGGCGGUCGAGAUCCAAGAGAAAGAUGCUUGUGAGAGGAGGGUCUUCUUCAUCGUGGAGAGAGAGAGGGGGGUGUCAAGUGUUACAUGUAGGUGUUUCACUGUGGGGGGAGAGGGAGAUAAAGGUGGUGCACGAUGAAUCGUGACGGGAAAGAGAGGCACUGGAGGAGGAAGAGAGAAAUGGGGAAAGAAAGGGAAGAAAAUGAGGGCUAAGAUUUUAAUUCGUUUGGAGUCACAUAUAAGACUUGCAACUCGUGUGUUGUAAAUAAUGCUUGUAAAUUAUUAAACGAGGUUAUUUUUUAAAAUAUUUUAUGAAAUGUUGUAUUUUUUUUUUAAUGAGCUAAAAACCAAAAAGCUUCCACUCGUUUAGCCUGGGUGCAUCCCUCCAGGGUCAAAAUGUUUGAAUUCAAAAACUCUAGAUAAAAGGAGGACAGAAGUAGUUUAUGCCUUGUUUGUUUCCAGGAAUUCAUUUUCCUGGAAACCAUUUUCCCCACUUUCCCAUGUUUGGCAAGCAUAAGGAAAAUUAGUCAAAGGAAACUCAAUUCCAGUCAACCAAAAAAUGAAACGUUAGAGCAGGAAAGUGUUUUCCUUUCUUUAUUCUAAGGAAAACACUUUCCUUUUCUUUAUUAACCAAAAGCUCCCAUCCAAAAGCUCCCAUGCUCUGUUAAUUUCACUGCAACCAAAAGCUCCCAUGCUCUGUAAACCGAAACCCAUGGGAAUGCAACCCAUUCAACCACAGCAAACCCAAACCCCUGAGAAAAAUCAACCACAGCAAACCCAAAAAUUGAACCCAGAAACCAAACACAGACCCAUACACAUACACGACAAAAUUAUUUCCUUUCGCCAUUGUUGCUAUCACAGCAAAGAAUUACCACUGUCACAGCAAAGAAUCACCAUUCUUUUCUCAAGCCGAAGGCGCCCUUCGCGCCCGUUUCCUUCCCAAUCUCUUCGCCAGGCAACCCAUCCAUAGAAAACCACAACCCCUGUAUUUUUUCCAUAAACCAAACAUUGCAAACCCAUACACAGCAAACCCAAACCCAUUUUUCCCAGAAAUCGGGUUUGCUGUGUAUGGGUUUGCAAUGUUUGGUUUAUGGAAAAAAUACAGGGGUUGUGGUUUUCUAUGGAUGGGUUGCCUGGCAAACCCAUGCUCUGUUUCUCCACCCGAUGUGAUUUUCCUUCUAUGUUGCUGAUAUGCGUUUCCUGUGUUUUGUGCAUUUCCUGUGCUUUGUUGGCACAGGGGACAGGGGAAGGGGAAUGAAAGAAACCGAGAGGGAACAGUGGGAAUCGAUCGAGAGGGAGAGGGAACAGGGGGAAUCGUCGACCGAGAGGGAGAGGGAACAGUGGGAAUCGACCGAGAGGGAGAGGGAGAGGGAACAUGGAACAGGGAACAGGGGAAUGGGAGAGGGGAAUCGACUGAGAUGGAGGGAGAAUGGGAGAGGGGAAUGGAAUUAAUUUGAUAAAGGAAGCUUUGAAGGAAUUAAUUUGAUACGAAGUCAGGGGAAGGAAGCUUUGAAGGAAUUAAUUUGAUACUUGUGAAGUCAAGGGAAGGAAGCUUUGAAGGAAUUAAUUUCUAUGUUUGUGCGAGAGUUAAUUUGAUAUUUACUUUGUUUCUAAAAUGUUGUACAAUUAACUAAAAAAUUGUAUAUUCUAAACUUUAUGAACAUGCAUAUUUCAAUCAUGAUAAUUUUCUCAACAAAGAAAUUAUUCAAAAAACCCAUCAAAAUAUUUUUUCAAUCUAUUUAUCUUUUAAACAAAACUUCAUAUAUAUAAAAAAACCAAAUAUAUAAGAAAAAAAAUAUAGUAAUAGGUUUUACUUAAAAAAUAUUUCACAAGCUUAUUUUUAUAUUAUAUGAUAUGACAUAUAUAGUUAUUUUUAUAAAAUAAGCUAUGUAUGAAUAUAUAUUAUAAUAAAAAAAAUUCAUCAUUAUACUUUUUAGAUUUUAUUUUUUUAUUGUAAGUGAUUAAAUAUUUUAUAUAUAUUAGAUAAACUUGAAAAAAAAAUUAAUUCAUUAAUAAAUUAUUUUCCAGUUUAUUUUUCAUAACAUAAACAAACACUGGAAAGUGUUUUCCAGUUUAUUUUCCAUAACACUGCCAAACAUCGGAAAAUACUUUUCUGGAAUUCACUUUCCAGGAAUUCACUUUCCCCGGAAUUCACUUUUCAAAAGGAAAUAGAUAAAAGGAGGACAGAAGUAGUUUAACAACGUAGCAUUUGCUUAUUUUAUUUUUCUUUCUCCAACAGAAGACCAUUUCCUCGUUGUAUUAAGCCGAGCACAGAUCUAAAAGCGUACUUACCAGAUCUAAGCCACGAUAUAAAAGGUUCUAAAGAAGGGGACGUGGCCCAAUAGCAUUAUUGUAUUUAUCAUUUUAUAGAUUUGUACUAGUAUAACAACAACUACAUUAAUCUAUCUAAUCAUCAAACAAACAAACAAACAAACAAAACAAAAGCCAUCACCCGUGCGGGUGGCCAGCACUGCCAAUCAUUGCUGCCAUAAGCCCAUACUGGGUAUCUUACAAGUGGCAAAAUCACACGUGUAGGUGACAAGACGAACGAGAGAAGGGGCUAAUUUCUUUUAAAAUUCUAAUACAAACACCGACACCAGCCAUUAAUUACUUUAAGCAAGGAGGUUGAAACUUGAAAGUUGGCAAUGGAGGCAGGUAGGGCCUUUACAGCCCGGUAUGAUUAGCCUAGGAGAUCUUGCAAGAAACGGCCGAAAGAAUCGAGGAGAAAAUAUAUCAAGCAACGAGACAAUGCCUGUUGAUUUUACGCAUUCAUCAUUUUAUUUUUAUGUUUUAAAAAUAUAUUUUUGUUCUUGCUUUAAAUUAAUAUUUUUUAAAAAUAAAAAUAUAUUAAAAUAAUAUAUUUCUAAAUAAAAAACAAACCAGACCAUACAAAUCCAGUCCAGCAUGUUGAACACAAAUAACUCUGGUUUGCGUUUUUUCUCCUGUAUGGGUGUGGUCAUCAAGCCACCACCAUGACAACGGCCUGCAGGGAUAUUGAUAACAUUCUCGGGCAGAGUUCUCUUUAGUGGGAUCGUUUGCUUUAAUAAUAAUAAUAAUAAUAACAACAAUAAUAAUAAAAACAUUUUUUAUUGUUGAAAAAGCAUGUACAAGUCGAGGAGCAUCAUUUCCAUGAAGGAACAAGUCAAAAUGAUAAGACUUGGGGGCUUUCUUUUGUCCAUGUCAGUCUCCUCUAGAUUAGCUAGGUGGAGAACUCCAGACAAUAUGUAAAUAAUUUCAACUGAUUUCCUCAAGUUUUUUCCUCGAUCGUUCAAAUAUUUGCAGCCAUUUUCUCCCAUCUAAGACAUUAAAUUUUUCAUUAAAUAAGAAAGUCAAACUUUUUUUCGAAACCCAACAUUAUCGCUUACAUCAUAAGAAGUUUAUAUUAAAAGAAAGGUUAUUUUUUAAAAUAUUUUUUAUUUAAAAAUAUAUAAAAAUAAUAUUUUUUUAUUUUUUAAAAAUUAUUUUUGAUAUUAAUAUAUCAAAAUAAUUUAAAAACAUUAAAAAAUAUUAAUUAAAAAUAAAAAAAAUAAUUUUUUAAAAAAUAUUUUUAAAAUACAAAAAUAAAUAGUAUCUGAACUUAUCUUUAAAAUAGAUUGAAGAAUUGAUGAACUUUUGAAACCCAAUUGGAAAAUAGAAAAUAAUUUGAAGAUUGCCACUUUGCCUGGAAUAGCUUCUGGCGUUGGAUAAGGUCAGCUAUAGCGCCAGUACACAUAAACACAAUUAAUAGCUUCUACUCUUGACAUUAAAAACUCAAGUUUUUUUUUUUGAAAAUACCACGGCAAGAAAAAACAUUUUACAUAUUAAUUCAGCAGAAAAAAUUAUACUGGUUUAGCUAGUUCUAUUAACGUAACCUAUUAAAAUAAUAAUAAAAUUUAAAAAUGUUUUUGAUGGGAUUAACACAAUUUAUUUUAUUUUAUUUGAAGUUAUUGCACCAUUUUUAAUAAAACAAUCGAAAAAACUAUGCUAUAUCUCAAAGAAAUUACCCAGCUAUAUUAGUUCAUAAAAUAUUUUUGUUGACUAUGCUAUUUUAAAAAAAAACUCUAAAUACACGGUCCAAGGGUAAAUAUCUGGUACGUGGUUCCCAUGUGCCCAAGUGUCAAAUGAUUUCUCUGUGACACGUGUACGUAAGAGAUUUGCCCAAUCAAUUUUAAUUUUUCUGUAAGAGAGGACAUUUCACGCAUGCCAUGACGACAGGCUGGUGUACGGAUAAAGUAUAAAGCAGUAAGUAUGUGUGUACCAUGUGUUCUUACGGUCAAUGAACUACAAAUUUCUUGAGUUGAAUUUUUUAUAUUUGUUAAUUUGGGUGAUAUAAUUAACCUUGCUAAGUAUAAACCAUGAAUAAUAUAAUAACAAAGCAGGGCACACGAUCAAUAUGUAAAUAUAAUUCUCAUCAAUAAAAAAGGAGCCUAAAAAAAGUUCGUAAAAAUAACUGGUAGAGAAUAAUAUAAAUCAUAUCUUGAGACCUUACCUAACAGCUUAAACUUUUGGGUUAAGUUGGUUCUUUGACAUGGUAUCAGAGCCUUGAUGACCAAGCGGUCACGAGUUCGAAUCUCACUAUCCCCAUUUAUUUGAUAAAAAUUAAGCACAAGGUAAUAUGUGUCUGUGCAAGUUUCAAGCCCAAAUGACUUUCACUUGAGGGGUGUGUUAGAGAAUAAUAUAAAUUAUAUCUUGAGACCUCACCUAACAGCUUAAGAUUUUGGGUUGAGUUGGUUCUUUGACAAUAACUAUCAUUCCACUUGUUUUUGCAUUUUAAAAGCGCUUUUAAAAUAAUUUAAAAUUUUUUUAUUUUUUUUCUUUGCUUUAAAUAAAUAUUUUUUAGUAUUUUCAAAUCAUUUUGAUAUGCUGUUCUUAAAAAUAAUUUUUUUUCUAAAAAAAUUAUUUUGAUGUAUUUUGAAGUGAAAAACCACAACCCAAGCAUGUCAAUAUAUAUAAAAGAAAAAACAAAAAACUAUUAUAUGGUCAUUGAAAAUAUUUUUAGCUUGUUGCUAUUAAGAUAUAUUCGAAGAAAAAUCGAGAAGCUUUUGUUGACCUUGGAUGCCCGUGUUCCAUGCAUGCAUGCUGACAAUGCAUUUUGAAUAGUUUGUAGGAUUUCGGUGAGUGUAUAUUAUUUUAUUUAAAAAAAAAACAUUUUUUUUUGGGAGUAAAUUUUGGAGUAAAAAGACUUUGUAUACUAUUCUGAUUUCCGACUAGUGGAUACAACAACCAACAACAUAGUACAAAUAAAUUAAUUGUGUUUAAUUAAUAAAUAAAAAUCACAUUUAAUUAUUAAAAUCUUCUUUUUUCUGUGGAGAAGGGAUGUUUGGUGAAGGGUUCCAUCUCUCAACAUCAAACUCCAUCUUGAUUGCGCAAACAGAGAGACCUCAAUCAUUGCCCACGCGCGGGUAUAGCAGAAAACGUGGCCGCACGAUGCUCAAUGAUUUUCCAAGGGAAAUGAUGGCAAUCUGGGCUCUACCUGUGAGGAAGGAGGAAAAAAAAACAACGAAGUCACAAUCUUUGACCAGUGUCUCUAGCCUUUGUGUGCAUGGUCUUUCUCUCCAUUUCAUUUGGCAGCAGCCAAGUGGAUCUUGGAGGGCCUCUCUAAAUCAUGGUGUUUCUCGUAAUAAUAACACUCCUUGUCCUUCUCCUGGCUUAACGCAGGGCCAUGCUGACAUAACAAAGCUAAACAUCUUAAGAACAAUCAGUUAUUGUAAUGGUUGGGUCAUUAAAGCACUCGAAAUGGAUCGUUUACUCUCGUAGUAAUUCCUUAACUUUAGCUAGUUCAUGAGAUAAAAUAGUAUAAAUGAAGCAAAAGGUAUGUGCAGAGUUGACCCAAAUACUUUAGGGUUGAGGUUUAUUGCCGUGUAAUGCUUAAAUGGGACUCAAACUCAAGCUAGCCCUGUCUCUCUUGAUUUGCAAGAUUAAACAAUGUGAAACCUUUAUGAAUUGUGCGGUAAAUUAAUGACCAAAGGGAUUGCAGGGAGUAAUCGCAUCUGUCACAGCUGUUCCAUCUAGACCAGACGUUGCCUGUAUAUGCUAGCAGAUCGGCAUGUAUAUACACCACUUGUGGUUUUAGAUGGAACAGUCAGGACAUGCACGUAACGGCUGCUUGCGCCAGUCAGGUGGCCACAGGCGGUGGAAGAACCUCCCUAUAAGCUCAUGUCGCGGUGAUACAAGUAGCAAGUAAAGCACAACAAUGACUGGACGACAUUUUCUUGGGAGGUUCAAUAAUAAUAAAAGCAACGUCCAUCCUGCUGGUUUGGUGGUGGCUUGAGAAUCACGUGGUGCGUGCUACCUUACCUUCUACUGGUCAAAAAUGGUAGCUUUUCCUUUAGCAACUCGCAAGAACCAAGGAAACACAGGCCUACAAAAUGCGGCAGGCAAGAGAAGUCAAACAAGGGCAGCCCUGCCCAAGGGCAAGCAAAUAUUCUAGUGUGGCCUUCCAGGACAGUGAACGGUUUACAGAGUGAUAAAAUACUCUGACGUCUCACUUUCCAGUGUACUAAAAGCUUUCCUGAACAUCGAAAGCGAAACAUCUAAAGUUUUAACUUUGAACAUAAAAGAACGGAACAAAUCUGGCCAUUUUUAUUUGGCUGUGAAAAAACCCAGUAGGGCUCCCUUUCCUUUCGGCUUUCGGCCGUGUCGCAUUAAGACAGCAAUCACCCACCGACAAAUGUUAGUUUAAUGCGAAGCUGAUAUUUUCUUGCAUCCAGGAUUCUGCCAAGACAGAACCAUGCAUGCAAAUCUUCACUUGUAUUUGUGUGAUUCACAUGGAUGGCUAGAAUCCAUCAUGCAUUGCAUCACACAGCAUCACUUGCCCUUAGCGCAGCCCCUGCAUCAAUUGAUAUUAUGCAUAAUCAAUAAUAUUUUAGCACAGGAAUUAAAGGCUUCAUGAUGGCACAAGGACAAAUGUGAACCUUAAAAAAUAUUUAAAUUUUCCAAUUAUUUGGACUUAGUGGAAGAGUAUUGAUUGAUUGGCCGAGAAUAUAGGCCUUUGAGGCAAAAGUGAGAAUAUAUUGCCUUGUCUUAUCAGCGAAUAAAAGCGAAGCUAGCCUAGCGAUUUUGCGGCAAAUAAACCUAAUUUGGAUUGCAAAGAUGACUCAUAGAACAGUGUUUUCCUGUUCUCUGGAUAGAUCUCCAAUCAACAUCUCAAAACUGAUAAGAGACUCGAUAAAAGAUAGAGAGACCCAGGGAUUAUAUAAGAUCAGCAGCAUGUUUCCCGCAAAAUCCUUCAUCACCUUUUUCCUGGAUUUGGGAUUUUAUUGCACGCGAAUCUUGGAUGCAAGUGUCAAAGAGGAAGGUUUAAUGAUAUACGUGUCCUACAAAUAAUUCCUGAGGGCGUGCGUGGUUCAUAGAAGCAGACUAAUCCAUGAUUUUUGGAAAAUCUAGACAUCAAAACAAAACCCUAGCAUGGCCACAUUAUUGCGCAAGCACAACUCCCUCACUUCCAACCAAAUCAUGGCCAUCAUUACCUGCCAAGCACACCUUAAUCACUUCUUCUCACCGACUGCAACAUUACAUUAUCUCAAAGCGGGGUGAAAAGGAAAGAAAAAUCAUCCAUGUAAUCUAUAGUGGAAGAAACUGCGGUUCAUGCAAACAGCAUGUUUUACAAAGGUACUUUCUGGUUCCACUAACAUCAACUUUUUGACAAACAGAACAGAUCCCAUGCGCCAUUAGUAUGCAGCAAUGAAAGCUGACAGAUCCUAUCAUAAUGAGCCACUAGUAUGCAUAAUAUAUUUAUACCAUUGACGACUACAAUAUCCUGCAUUCAAAAGGUAGCUCCUCGCUACUUUUUAUCCAAAAAUGUGAGACCUAACCCACACAGUUGGCAAAUAGAAGCACAAAACCUGCCAAUUAUCCAAUCAGAAUUAUCACAUGGUAACUCGAAGUUAAGGUGGAGAGCUAAUAGCUAAAAAUUCAGAGAGAGCAACUAGUGAUGAUCCACACUCCACGCUGUCUAUUAAUCAACCUAUGGUUAGAAAAAUGAACAAGAGACCCGAUGAAUCAUUGAUAGACAUUAUUGGGAUUCAACUAAAAGCACCAUACAGGAAAAUAUCAGAAAAUUGAAGUGGUGUGAUGAAACAAUCAUUUAUGGACAUUGAUCAUAUUCAUAUGCAGGCCAAGAGAAGACGGUCCCCUGCAUUCCUUCGUGAGGCAUGUUGGGGCCAUAUACUCAUUAAUUAAGAGUAAUCAUGUCGCCUGUAUGCAGCCCAUCAACAUCA